UGCAAGCCAAAGAUGAAAUAAUAUUCAUCAAUUUGAAAAAUUGUCUUCAAUAGUUGUAGAGUAACUUUUCUUCAUUAAUAUGAAGGGAAGUCCUUAGCAUGUUAUUUACAAUUAAACCUUGAAUAUUCCUAAAAACAAGUGAAGCCAAAAAUAUAAGCAUAAGCAAGAUAGGAGAAAAUAGUGAUAAUUAUAAUUCUUCAACUAUGAUUCUCAAGCCACAACAUUAAUCUAUACACAAUGAGAGCUAAAAAAGCGGUGUUGUUACAACUAGUAUAAUAAAAUCUUCUAGGCUUCCUUAGUUAUAGUUAAAUUUUACCUUUAAUCCAACAAAAGAAUGAUAUUUGUAUUUGCAAAAUCUUAUUUUAUCUCUAUAUAUUGUGGAAAAUAUGUUAAUUAAUAGAAGAGGGUGGUUUUGAGAAAUAAUAAAAAGUGACUACUAAUCUAAUACAUUUUAUUAAAAAAACCAAGGAGAGUAUUUGAGAAGUCUUACCAUUUAACUUUGGAAACUCCUCCGUAGUCUAUUCAUAGUUAUUGUUGUUGUUGUCAUGUACAACCGAUCUUUUAUCUUGUUCAAGAACUGGAAAUAGGCAUGUCUCCAUGAACUAUUGAGUAGUAAAGUGCCACAAACUCCCCAAAAUCCGAUGAUGAAUCCAAGAACAAUACUUCCAGAAAACCAUAUCUUAUUUGCGUCAUCUUGAAUGUUGUCUCUGUUACUUGGAUCAAUGAAGGAGGCUUCCUUAGUUUCAUCUCCUAGACACUUCUUCAAGAGUGGAGGCCCACAAAGUCUAGGAUUUCCUUGGUAUGUGGAGGCACUAAAGCUUUGUAAUUGAGUGCCUGAUGGAAUUUUGCCUGAUAAGUUGUUAUUUGAUAGGUCUAAAACACUUAGAUCGGCUAUUUGAGAAAGACUAGCAGGAAUUCUACCAUGAAGCUGGUUUUGAGAUAGAUCAAGAAAAUCCAAUGAUUUCAAUUGACCAAUCAUAGAAGGAAUAGAUCCAGUCAAAUUGUUUCUUGAUAAGUUCAAUGACACCAAUUCUACCAAAUCGGUUACCUCUACAGGAAUUUCUCCGAUUAAUUUGUUGUUUGAAAAAUCAAUGCUCCUUAUAAGCCCAAGAGUUUUCUUGUACUCUAACUCUUUUCCUUUCCAUUGAAUCAAUGUAUCAUCAAUAUAGGAGAAAUCCCAACCUGAAUGAAACUGUCUUUCGUUAUAAGCAAUGACCAAACUCCCUUUCUGAGUUAAAGCAAUUAAAUCGUUGAGACAUUUUGGUAUGGUACCAAAUAGAUUGUUGCUUGAGAGGUCCAACAUUUGAAUCUUUUUUAGUUGACAUAGAUUUAAAGGUAUGUUUCCAUUAAAUUCAUUGGAUCUUAGGUUGAGAACAAUCAAACUUGAUAGGCUUCCCAUCCAUGCAGGUACGUUUCCGGAUAAUUUAUUUCUUCCAAAAUCUACAAGAUGCAAAUCUUUGCAGUUCUUUAAGGACAAAGGCAAUGCUCCAAUUAAACUAUUGUUGCGUAAAUGCAAUGUUUGAAUCUGGUGUAACAAGCCAACUGAAUUUUUAAUUUUCCCAGAAAAAUUAUUAUUUGCCAAAUUAAGAACAAUUAAAUCUUUCCACUGGCCCCAACAAUUGGGUAGUUCUCCUGACAAUCGAUUAUUUGAGAGGUCAAGAUGAGACAAACCCCGACUAGACUGAUUAGUUGUCCUGCAUGAUAAAGAAAUUGACCCUGAAAACAAGUUCUUGGAGAGAACCAACCAUCCAGCGUUGAAAACAGAUUGUGGUAUUGAGCCUUCCAAGCAAUUUGAACUCAUAUCCAUUCUCAAAUAAGAUGUUACUUGUAAAUUGGGCAAAGUGCCUGAGAUGUGAUUGUUGGAAAUGUUUAACCAUGCUAAAUGUGAAGUUAAAUUCCAAAACCAAUUGGGAAUGACAUCUGAAAUUCCAGAAGCAGAGAUAUCAAGAUCUAGCAGACCUUUUUGAGUGUGUAGCCAAUUAGGAAAACGUGGGCCUAAUUUGCAAGAGGGCAACAUUAUAUAUAGGGCUUGAAACUGGGGAACUUGCUCAAGACUUAUGUUGAAUGUAAGGGAGUUGAAAGAUAAGUCCAAGUAAAACAGUUUGGAGAGACCAAAAAGGUGAUUUGCCGACACAGUACCUUGCAAUGAAUUUGAAGGAAUGGACAACACUUCAACUUGAGCUAGUUGUCCAAUACUUUCAGGUAAAGUUCCAUUUAGUUGAUUGAAUCCAAGACUUAACUCUCUCGACUGUGAAAAUCCAAAAAGAUGAGGACAUGACCCUCUGAGUUGAUUAUGAGAUAAAUCUAAACCCUCUAAUGUGUUAUUAGAGCAGGCCAGAAAAUCUUUUUCCAGCAGUCCAGUGAGAUUGUUGCUAGUCAAGAAUAAUGUCUGUAAAUUACAUAAAUCUCUCAAGGAUUUUGGAAUCUCACCUUCAAGUUGAUUCCAAGAGAGAUGAAGAUAUGCCAGAGCAGUCAUGUUUCCAAAAGCAUCCGGAAUUGAACCCUGGAGAUGAUUAUAAGAGAGGCCAAGAUGAACAAAGCUGGUACUCAAGGAUUUCGGAAUCUCACCUUCGAGUUGAUUCGAAGAGAGAUCUAGAUAUGCCAGAGUAGUCAUGUUUCCAAAAGCAUCAAGAAUCGAACCAUGCAGCUGGUUCCAAGAAAGAUCCAAAUGAACAAAGCUGGUACUCAAGGAUUUCGGAAUCUCACCUUCAAGGUGAUUGGAAGAGAGAUCAAGAUAUGCCAGAGUAGUCAUGUUUCCAAAAGCAUCUGGAAUUGAACCAUGCAGCAAGUUCCAAGAAAGGUCCAAAUGAACAACGCUGGUACUCAAGGAUUUCGGAAUCUCACCUUUAAGUUGAUUGGAGGAGAGAUCAAGAUAUGCGAGAAUAGUCAUGUUUCCAAAAGCAUCUGGAAUUAAACCAUGUAGCUGGUUCCCAGAAAGAUCCAAAUGAACGAAACUGACACUAAAGAACUUCGGAAUCUCACCUUCAAGUUCAUUCCGAGAGAGAACAAAAGAUUCCAGAAAAACCAUGUUCGUAAAUGCAUCCGGAAAUGAACCAUUUAGAUGGUUAUAAGAGAGGUCAAGAUGAAGAAGGCUACUACUGAAGUUGAACAACCAUGGGUAUAUUGAAGAAGUGAGACCAUUCCUGGAGAGAUCAAGCACAGCAAGAGAAGUAGAAGAAUUAGUAUGGGAAAUGAAUAUUGUUGGAAUAAUCCAAGGAAGCUGAGUAUGGCUCAAGUAUAACUCAGUUAGGGAAGGCAUUUUAUUAAUUGCUUGUGGCCAAUGGAUUGCUUUACUAAGAUCAACCCCACUCAAGUCAAGGUGUGUUAACAAAGGAAGACGAGAAAGCCAGUCAAGGUUUCCACAGGUCAUUCCCAAAUUAUAGGCGAGAUCAAGGGAUUGCAAGUUGGAAAGAUUUCCGAGUUGAGUGGGAAGAACUCCUGUAAAAUUGGGAAAAGAGAGAAUUAAUUGAGAUUUUUUAUUCUGCUGGGACAAACUGAUGAAUUGUCACAAGGUAUAUAAUUACCUUCAAACCGGUUGAAGCUAAGGUUCAAAUGCUUCAAGUGCUGCAACUCUGCCAGUGAAGGGUCAAUCUUACCUCCCAAAUAUCGGACAAAAUCCGUUCCAUGAAGAUCAAGGCUGAUCACAUGACCCGUCUGGUUGUUACACUCCACUCCUCUCCAUUUGCAACAAUCUCUUUUGUCUUCCUCAUUCCCCCAUGAAGAAAGAACUCUAUAGUCAUGGACAAGGCCUUGUUUGAAGUGAAGGAGAGCCUGUCUCUCCCUCUCUGUGCACCCAACUUUAGCAUCACCCACCAUCAAACUGGAUCCCAACCCAGCUUUGAAACACAGCAAAAGCAGGAAAAAGCCAAGAAAACGUUGAAAGGGCCUUCCACCCAUCUUCAACACAAACCAACAAUACUGUGGAAUAACAAGGAUUAGCAAGUUUUGGAUUUUGGUUUCUGAGCAAACUAGCCAUCGACUUUUAUACUAUUCCAGCAACACGUGGAGCAUGGGGCCCAAAAGGAAAGAAAAGCCAUCGACUAAUGUUCCUUCUUUUUGACAGAUAUGGGUAACGUUUACUCGAUCGAUCAUGACUAAAAAUAUUAAAAAGAAAAACAAAUAUAUAUUAUUUUUAAGUUUAUAAAAGUACUAUUUUUAUUUUUGUGUACAUAAUAUUUUGAGUAAAUAUUUUGUUUACAUUGUUAUUUUUAUCAUUAGAAAAAAAAUAAAGUUCUAAAAAAAUUAUUUUAAUAUUCAUUUAAAAAUUAAAAUUAGAGAAGUUGUUAUAAGUUUAAUUUCACUAACCUCCCCUAAAGUUUGGACCAAAUACACCUAGUUACCCUUAAUUUGAGAAUUCAUCAAAUACUUCUCUUAUCCUUAUUAUUUAUUAUUUUCAUACACUUCCACUUUAUUAAAAAUAAGGGAAGUUUUGCACGAAAAUUUAAAUUAAUAAUAGUUAAGUGUAUUUAGUUCAAUGAGUAAAAUUUAUCUAAUUUUUAUAUAAUGCAAAAAAAGAGAAAAAAAAUAUAAAUUAAUAAAAAGGAAUAUAUAAAGUACAAAGAUACUUUUAGAACCAAGAAUAGGUCUCUGCUUAAGAGUAUAUAGGGUAUAUGGGGUAUUUAAGGGUAUAUGGGCCGGCUAGGGUUGCAUUUGUUAAAGAAAAUACUAUAGCCAAUUGCCUAGGCACUUUGAAAUUUAUAUCUAAGAAAUUUCUUAGAUAUUGGUAUUAAUUCAUCUUUUGAAAAGAAACAUGUAUUGAAGUAGAAGUCUUCCAAGACAUUGAUACUUGUCAACUUUCCAAGUGUUUUUAAUGAUUUUCCAUUCACACCAAGUCCUAUCAAGAGAAGUUGCACCAUGUCCUAGCAAGACAAUUGAAUUUGAGUCUUUAUUUUGUAUUUUACAUAAUGUCAAGUCUAGUCUUAGCAAGGAUAAUAUUAUUGAUUAUUAUUGUUAUUAUUAUUGUUAUUAUUAUUGUUAUUGUUAUUGUUAUUAUAAAAGUGGUGGUUAAGUGGCAUGGCCAUUAUAUAUUGAUAAAAGAAUUUAACGUAAUAUCAAUUAGAGUUAAGUCAUAUGCUAUAUUGAACUCAUUUAGAGAGGUUACUGUUAGCUAGCAUAAAUAUGGGCUCCAAAAAAAUUUAAUGUAAUGUCCAUCGGAGUAAAGUGAUCAUCUAUCAUUGGACCCAUAUAGAGAGGAUAUUUUUAACUAGCAUAAAUAUGGACCCUAAAAAAAUUUAAAAUAAUGUCUAUUGGAGUCAAGUCAUCCACUAUAUUGGACACAUCUAAAGAGGUUGCUUCUAGCUAGCAUAAAUAUGGGCUUCAAAAAAUUUAAUGUAUUGUCUAUUGGAGUCAAGUCAUCCACUAUAUUGACCCAUCUAAAGAGGUUUCUUCUAACUAACAUAAAUAUGGGCUCCAAAACAAUUUAAUGUAAUGUCCAUUGGAGUAAAGUGAUCAUCUACAAUUGGACCCAUCUAGAGAGAUUACUUUUUAGCUAGCAUAAAUAUGGGCCUCAAAAUAGUUAAUAUAAUAUCUAUUUGAGUUAAGUCAUCCACUAUAUUGGACCCAUCUAAAGAGGUUGCUUCUAGCUAGCAUAAAUAUGGGCUCCAAAAAAUUUAAUGUAAUGCAUCCACUAUAUUGACUCAUCUAAAGAGGUUUCUUCUAGCUAACAUAAAUAUGAAACCUAGCUAACAUAAAUAUGGGCUCCUGAAAAUUUAAUGUAAUGCAUCCACUAUAUUGACCCAUUUAAAGAGGUUUCUUCUAGUUAACAUAAAUAUAGGGUCCAAGAAAAUUUAUUUAAUGUCUAUUGUAGCCAAGUCAUCCAAGAUAUUGGACUCAUUUAAAGAGGUUGCUUUUAGCUAGCAUAAAUAUGGGCUCCAAAAAAAUUUAUUGUAUUGUCUAUUGGAGUUAAGUCAUCAACUAUAUUGAACUCAUCUAGGGCGGUUGUGUUUAGCUAGCAUAAAUAUGGAUUGGAGCCCACUAGUCCAAUUUUUUCAAAAUCACUUUGAAUUUAUAUAUACAGAGAAAAUUCCUUACCUACCCUUAUCAAUGAUUUAUCAUUCAAAGAAUAAUUUGAAUUUUUUAAUAAAUAAGAAUUUUUUUCCCAUCUACCAACUAAAUGUUGAAUGGUCUUUUUCCUUAAUCAAUAAGAAAUCUAACUUAAGAUACCUACAAUGUACUUCAUGUUAAUAAAUUUAAAGUAGACAUAUCAUUAUUUAUCUUAAUAGAAUUUUUAUUUAUUAGAAAGUCAAUCUAUCAAUAUCUAAACAAACUAGGAGAAAAAUAAAAAAUUCUCUAUGGAAUUUAAUUUUCUAAUAAGCACUAAAUUUUGAUUAUUACUUUUUAUUUUCUAUCACAUAUGAUGCUAGUUCUAAUUAACUUCAUUUUUUCAAAUACCACAUGCAUUAAGUCUUUGUGUCAAAAAUCCAUAUGGCUAGUUGUACAAGAAAGAGGAAAAUCAUCUAGUGAAUACAUUUUUGUUCUUUUUUAUAUUAAUAUGAGUUUAACCAAAAGAGAUAAGAUUUUUUUUUUUUUAAUAAAGGAUGAAUUGAUUGCAUCAAGCAUACAAUGUUGUAUGGUAAUGGCUUGAUUGGUUAUCCUAGGUUAUAUAGUAAAUAUACAAAUCGGCUAGUACACAACACUCACAUUUAAACUAUAAAAAAUAAUAUAAAAAUUUUAAUGUUUUGCAAAGUACUUUUAGCUCAUUUUUUGAAUUAAAAAAAUUUCUUAGUUAUAGUGAUAAAAAUAUGACAUUACUAAAAGUCUCAAAUACUUUUACAAGUAACCAAAAUUUUAAAAAACAUGAUGAGUAUUGGGUUUUGCAAUGUAUGAUAACUAGAACUACUAUUGCAUAUAAAAAAAAUAUUAAUAAUAAUAAAGUGUUGUGACUAAAGUUAUAUCUUUGUUGGAAAUUAAAUUGAGAUCUUGUUUUUUUUUCUUCUUUUUUUUCCUAGUUUGUUUAACUAUUAGAAUGUAGAUUUAUUUGGCUUAAUUAAAGUUGAAAUAUUAUAAUUUUUUACUCUUUCCUUUGUCAAAAUAUAUGUUGAUGAUAAAGACUAUGAAAAUUUGGCCGUAUUUUGUGGUGUCAUGUUUAUAUGUUGAUUUUUAGGAUCGAAUCCAUGUUAUUAACAAAAUGUGUAAAAGAUUUGCACUAAUUUUAAAAGCUAGAAAAAGUUUUUACAUUCAUAAUUAAGGUAAAUAAAUGUGAUUUUGAAAAUAAAAUAAAAUCCUAUUAAAGAGAAUAAAGUUGCAUCUCCUUUGAAUUUCUUAACAUGAAGUAGCAUAUAAUCAUCCAAUGAUAAAUCCUUAAAAAUUCAAGAGGACGAAGAAACCAUCCAAUAUUUUAUUUAGAUGGAAACAAUUAUAUAUUUACAACAAAAUUUCAACUUAUUAUAAAUGUAUGUAGCUAGUAAAAGUUAGUCUAAAAAUCCAAGUCGAUUUAUUUACUAUACUUGAAAAAUUAAGAUGUAAUAAAAAAAUAUUAUAACAUAGAUUUUUAAGUCAUCUAUUAGAAUUGAAGACAAAGUACAAUGAUAAAGGGUUCAUUAUUUCUUAGAUUUUUUAAGUCAAGUCAAUGAAUUAAGACAUUACAAGAUCUAAGUGGAAGAUGUUAUACAAACAAGAGUAACUAUCUAUUAUUUUUCUUUUUAGCUCUAUUUAAUUAUUUUAAUAUACAGAAGAACCAUAACAAAUUCAUCAGAUGAUUUUACUCUUCAUUGUAUGAUCAACCACAUGAAGUCUAGACUAAAGAAAGAAAAUUAAUGUAAUUUAUAUUGGAAUCAAGUCAUCCACUAUAUCAAAUCAUCUCUAGAAGUUGUUUUAUGCUAGCAUAGCAAUUGGCUAGAGUUGACUAUGCGAAAAAGCACUUAGAAUUUAUAUAAACCAAAAAAAUUCCUUAGCCCAUCUUUAUUAAUGAUUCAUCAUCUAAAAAAAUAAUUUGUAAUAAAUAGAGAUUUUUAAUGUCCAACAAAAUAUUAAAUGGUCUUUUUCAUUAAUCCUUAAAAAAAAAUCUAUACCUACAAUGUACUUCAAGUUAACACAUUCAAUGUAGACAAUGUUUAUUUAUUUAUUUAUUUAUUUAUAUUUAUUAGAAGAUAUUUUUUUAUUGUAUAAACUCUUUAUAAUUUUGAGAAUUAACAAAGUGUAUAAACAUUUUAAAAAGAGAAAUAAUAAAAAAAGAUAUUAUAAUAUUUCAAAUUGAAUUAACAAGUCAAUCUAUCAAUAUCUUAACAAUGUAUGAAAAAAUAAAAUAUUUCAUGACAAUUAUAAUUUUUCAACAUAAAUCAUGUUUUGAUUAUCACUUUUUGUUUUCUUUCAGAUGUAGUGCUAGGUCUAAUAUCAUAAAUUGUUAGACCCAAAAUGCACAAUUUUUUUAGUGUAGAGACGGGCUCCAUAUGGUCACUUGUGCAACCAAGGGUGAAAUCAACUAGUGAAUGUGCUUUGGUUCUUCUUUACAAUAGAAUAAGUAGAAAUGAAAGGGAAAAGAAAAUUAAUAAAAUUAAAAGAAAUGAAUCAAUUGAGACUAGCAUGUCACAUAGCAAUGGUCUAGUCAACCAUCAUAGGUUAUACUACAAAUAUGUGAACUAGCAAACAUAUAACACUCACAUUUAAACUAAAAGAGAUAAUUAUAAACUUUCUAUAUUUUGCAAAGUACUUUUGGUUCUUUUUUUAAUUGGCCAAAACUUUUAGUUAUAGUUACAAAAAUAUGACAUUAUUAGAAGUCUUAAAUAUUUUAUGAGUGAUUAGAAUUUUAAAAGAUGUGAUAAGAAGACUUGAAAGUUUUUGCGAGUUUAAAGUUUUCAAAGGUAUGGUGAUUAGAACUAAUAUUGCAUGUCAAAGAAACAAAGGAAAAUAAAAGAAGAAUAAGAAGAAAUAACUAAGUGUAAUGACUAAAGUCAUACCUUAAUUUGUUGGAAAAUUAAAAUUGAGAUGUCGUCUUUGUCUUUCUCCAACUUUGUUUAAAUAUUAAUAGAUUAACUUAAUAGUUGAAAUAUUAUAAUUCAUUAUUCAUCCCUUAAUCAAGAUAUCUUAAAUUGUAAAUAAAGUUAGAUCCAUUUUAAAUUUUUUAACAUGAAAUGGUUUAUACUUAAAAAUUCAAAGGAAGAAAAAACAAUCCAAUAUUUAGUUAGAUAGAAAUAAUUAUAUAUGAUAAAUUUUCAACUUAUCAUAAUUUGAAAAUAACUAAAAAAUGCAAUCAUAGAAGUAGGUUUAAAAAUAAAUAAUAAAUAAAAAGUGCUUCCAAUUCAAUUUAUUGACUUAGACUUAAGAAAGGAAAACCUCCUAUACAUAGAUUUUUAAGUUAUUUGUUACAAGACAAAGUACAAUAGCAAAAGGUUCAUUAUUUCUUAACUUUUGAAGUCAAGUCAAUGAAUUGAAACAUCACAAUAUACAUGGAUUUUUAAGUUACUUACUAAAAGACAAAGCACGGUAAUAAAAGGUUCACUAUUCUUAUCUUUUGAAGUCAAGUCAAUGAAUGGAGACAUCACAACAUCAAGAAGAGUAUGGACCAAAAAAAAAAACAAUCCUUAAAUAAAGAUAACAAAUAUGCAAUCUAGAUUAGGGUGAUUAUCAAACAAAACAAGAAACUUGAUAUACAUCAAAGUCAUUUAAAGAUAACAAUUUGAUAAAAAAAAAAUACUGAAAGCGUAAAUAUUUUUAACAUUGUUUUAAACAAUAAUUUUCAAAAAUAGCUUUUUAAAACAAGGUCGAAUUAUUUUUAAGAACAAAAUUUUAUUUAGAAAUUAACACAUAGAAAACAAUUUUCUUAGCUUAUUGUUCAUGAAACAGACAUGCACAAAUCUACCAUCAUAAACAUUCUUCAUGUUUUCAAUUUUUUCUUGAAAUAUUCUACAAAAAUGUUUUAAAGCAUUUGUUCUAAAAAAUAACUUAUUUUCAAAACAAAUUUUCACAAACCAAUUUUAGUAAAAAAAAUCACCAAAUAUAGUUUUUAAGGUAGAAAUCAAUUGUCCAUUAUAAAAAAUAAAAAACCCAUUUUCAAUAAAAAUUCUUUAAGAGAUGUUAUUUAAAGUAAGCACUUAUAGAGAAACAAACCUAGCCAAUUAUCAUACUUACUCAUCAUCCUCAAAAUUGAUUAUCAUCCUCAACUCUCUUUUAGUUGUAGAAUUUAUUGGUAAAUGCACUAGAAGCUAUAUCAUCCCCCAAAUUAGCCAACUCAUCAGCCACUUGUUGAUGUGGUGAGAUGUCUCUAUUGUUGACAGAUGCAACUCCUAACUGUUUUUUAUUGCUAAAGGCAAUAAUUUCAUCAUCUUCUAAAUCGUCAUCCAAGUUGAAUGCUUGAAAGCAACACAAUCUUCAAUUCCUAUAAUUUCCAACUCAAUGGAUAGGGUGCAUCCAUCCCUAAGAAUCAAAGUUAAGAGAUUUAGGCCCCACAAAGAACAAAAACUCAGGUUCAAUAAUAAGUUGUAAUUAUGUACGAAUUCUUCCUCAAAAUAUUUAUUCUGUGCAAAUGUAUCAUCAUCACUUUUGAUAUACUUUUGUGCAUCCAUCCAUUGCCUUGUGUUGAGCCAAUUUCUCCAAGCCUUGAAAUAUUUCUCCAUUUUCCACUUUCUUUCUACGGACUUCCAAGUUCAUGCAAUAAAGAUUGGGAAGUGAUGUAAUGACAUUCUCUACCGGUUUUCCAGAAGAGAACUUCCACAAAAAGAAGGGGUUGACUUUUCAUUUUCUAACCAAAUUUGUCAGAAAACAAACAAUAUUUUCAUAAUCCUUCCAUGGACAUGACUUCUGCUCACACAGGAUAUUGUGGAAUAUGGUGAGGAGUGAUAACUGCAAAAUUUGGUCAAAAAAAAUAUGUACAUAUAAAUGUUUGUUGAGUUCUAACCUGGUAUGACAUUGGAGAGAGCUCCAAAUCUUCACAGAUCUUCUGCAAAAUGCAUAGUGUCCUGGUUGAAUUGUUCUUAUAAAAUUUAAGCAGCCAACAUAUAUUUUGGAUAACAUGCUUAUUUGCAAAAGCAGAAACCAAGGCAGGCACCUUAAUAUCAAUUUUAUCAAGCACAGCUGCCUGCUCAUCACCCCAAGAAUCAUCAGUUCCAUAAUGAAGAUCAUUAGUAUUGUGUUUGGCCUUCCUGACAUCCAUAUGUGGCAGACUGCCUCCAAGGCUUCAUGUCCCACGCACAGGUAUUUUGGGCCCAAUCUGUACGAAUCCUCCUUGUUUCCUAUCAGAAAUAGAAUUUUCUAAGCUUCUUUCUGUGACAUGUUCAGAUCUGCGGACUGUCCACAAUUGGAGACCAAUUUCAUUCUGAAUGACAUCAUGAUCUCCAUGCUCUUCUUCAUUUUCAUUCUUGUCACUCAAUGUUUUCUUCUUUCUCCCCUUUCUUGAUUUUCUAGAAACCUAAUCACAAAAGAAUUUACAAGAAAUAUAUGUAGAUCAGCAUAACAAAAACAUUCCCUACUUUGACAAUCCACCGUCUUAGAGAUAUAGCAUAAUACAUUAUACUGAUUUUAGAUCAACUCAACAAUGCCUUAAACUCAAAUUACUGAGGAUUUCUUGUCCAUUAAGUGACUAUAUUUUUACCCUGGUCAUCUACCUACCACAACCUCCUUUCUCCAAGCAUGAGACCAGAUAAUUAGGGAAUCUCAGGUGUGUGUGUCUCUCUCUGUCACGUUCUAAGUUAAUGGCAUGAUCUCGUCUCCUCCCUCGUCCUUGAGCUAUGUUGCUAAGGCAAAAUAUGAGCAGAAUUGAAAGAAUUUGGAAAGCAGAUAACAAAGACAAGUUUUUGGAAGUUUUUCAUCUGAUGGUUUUAUUGCUCAAGAAUAAGGAAAUUUAUAAUUUAACAGACUCAACAACUUAGAGAUUAAACAGCAACAAUUACCAAAAAAUAGCUCACGUUACCCACUCUCUAGCCCACUACUGCUAGUUAUUUGAACUAACAAAUAUCUUAAAUAAAUAAAUUAAAAUUGCUGCACAUGACAGUGUCUAUGUGUCAGAGAGAGAGAGAAAGAGUGAGAGAGAGAGAUAGAGAGGAAAAGGGAGGCACCAGAACUGCUUCAAGCAAUGGUUUCCAGUACUCUUUCAGUCUCUCCUACUCAACAUAAAGGGAUGAUAUUGUUUCUCCUAUAUGGGUGAGAACCCCAAAUUUUCACCGACUUACCAGAGUCUAGCAUAAGCCAUUAAAACCUGAUUCAGGGGGCUCUGCAAGAUCUCAUAAGAGGAGUUGAAGAUUGUUUAUCCUAUCAACACUCCCCCACAAGGGUGAGCAGAGCUGGAUCUGUUCCAGGUCUAGAUAGGCUCAAUUGCAAAGUAUGGAAGGGGAUGGAGGAACGGCAGCAGGUUCCAUUAGAGAUAUAGAAGCAAAAAGCCCAACAAAUACAGAUGUUUAGUCGCUAUGACUACAGUAUAGGUAAAGGUAUAUGCAUUGCCUGACAAGUUGACUUCAUAAACCUAAUUUUUUAAUAAAAAAUUACUGAAAGAAAUCAAUGAUCAUUUUACUUUAAUAUUGUUUACUUUGAGUUUAUGAAUGUAUAUACACAUUUAUACAGUCGUAAGUAUUUAUCCACUUUUAUCGGCAAAGAUCUCUUAGACAUUUAAUGGUGUUUCCAACUUCCAUCUGCAUGAUUUCGGCUAGAAUUCAUAGGCAUAUUUUUUCCCCUUAUAAACAAUAAUCUCAAAUUAACAGAUUCCCCACUCAAGAUUAGCCCACAAAAGAAAAUAUAACUUACCCUUAAUGUGCCAUGAGCCUGAAGAUUCUCCAUAAGCUGUACACAACCAUAUAUAUCAUUUCUACCAAAUCUGCAAGAUCACUGACCAGAAUAAUAAGAUUAGUCAGGUCAAGAUCCUUACACGAAAUAUUACUUUCUUUCAAUGCAUUCAUAACCACAAAAAUGUGGGGCAAGGUUGACUUGAUUCAUCAUCAUGAUACCCUAUAUUGAUUAAAAUACUUUAAAAUAGUUAUCAAAAUUUCCCAUUUUUUUGUUUAAUCAAGAAUUUCAAUGUAGUCAUGAUACUAGACAAUUAUUUGUCAUUUGAUUCUGGGUAAUAAACUAAGAUUGAGUCCAUCAUUUAUUCUCAUGGAACAACAGUUUCAAAAAUCUCUCUCAGAGAUAAAAAUUGAAUGGCAGAUUCCCCAGCUUUCUGCUGCAAUGAGAUGUCCUGAAUUGCUCAAGGGAAUGAGCACAGAUAAACUCAGGUUGUUACCUAGUAAGGCAAUUGCAAAAAGGCUUCUCGUUGAUGAAAGGAAUCCCAUUUCUAGUUCUGUUUGAUCUGCCUAUGCUAUGGUCUAAAUAUGGAACUAACUAAAUCAGAGGUUUAAGACAACUGAACCCAUGAGAAGGGAAGAAAAACUACAUAUAAAGUUUGCUUACCAUUUCAAAGUUUCCAAUCAAGAACUGUGUUUUGGCCUGUAAUUGAAGACUUUGACCUGAUAGAUACCCUGUCUGUUGUUAAAUAUCAUCGGAUGAAGCCUCAACAGGCAUUGUGAGAAACACCCCAACCUCCACUCAAUCUGCAUAUGAAGUACCUCAAGCAAUUUGACUCUGUUGGAAAUCAAACCUCUCUGUUUUACUGCAGCUUUCAUGCUUGGGCACCAGAAAAACAGAUUGCUCUGUUUUUAGUAGUAGCAUAUCCCAUUUCAUACUAUGGGUAGUAUGACAAAAAUAAACCUCUCUAUUAUACCAAACCAUAUAAUAGCAAAAAUAAUAUGUUUAAAAAGCUCUAAAUAGAAGAUAACACGAGAAACUUAAAGCCACACUAACAAUCAAAUAGACAAACUUAAUACAUGAUGAAGUUAUUUAUUGGAUCACAAGCUUUUGCAUUCAGACAUGCAACUGUCUCACACUUAAUACACUUGUUACUCAAAAGCAUAUAUUAUCUAUUAAUCCUUGAGGUGCAACCCAACUGAAGUUCUGCAAUACAAAGAUGAAAUGAUAUAAUAUUCAUCAAUUUGAAAUAAUUUCUUUGUUGUUGAGUUACUCUUCUUGAUUAGUAAAAAGAUGGUUUUAGUAUGCUGCAUACAAUUAGACUUUGAAUGUUCGUAUGAUAUUUGAAGACAACUAAAGCAAAUUAACUUAAACAUUAGUAAAAAAAAAAGUUAUAAGUUGAAACAAGAUAUAAAAAUAUUGAUAAUCAUAAUUCUUCAACUAUGAUCCUCAACCCAUAAUAUUAAUAUAUAUACAAUGAAUGUUAAAUAUGCAUUGUUGUUAUAAUGAAUAUAUUAAAAUCUGCAUUGAUGUUAUAAUGAAUAUAUUAAAAUCUCCUAAGCUUGCUCAUUUAAAUGAUUCUUCUAUUUGCAAAAUCUAAGGUUUCUUUGAUAUAUUAUGGAAGAUCAAUCAAAUAAAAGAAGAGGGAUUUGAACAAUAGCAUAAUGUGUCUACUUUUCAUUCUUAAUUUUUGGCUUAGAAAUAUAAGGUAAUGCAUUUUACCCAGAAAACUAAAGAAAUAAUUUGAGAAGUCUUACCAUUUAACUUUGGAGGCUCCUCCAUAGUCUAUUCAUGUUUGUUGUUGUUGUCACAUACAACCAAUCUUUUAUCUUGCUUAGGAGCUGGAAUUGGGCAUAUCCCCUUGAACUAUUUGAAUAGUAAAGUGUCAUAAACUCCCCAAAAUCUGAUAAAUCCAAGAACAAUACUUCCAUUAAAACCAUGUAUUAGUUGCUUUAUUAUCGAAUGUCCUCUUUGUUACUAGGACCAGUGAAGGAUACUUCCCCACAUUCAACUUCUGAACUCCCCAAAAAAUCAUAGUCUCUCUGAGAUAAAAAUCGACUAGCAUGCGGACUCCCCAGCCUUCUACUGCAACGAGAUGUCUUGAAUGGCUAAAAUGUUCUGAAAUAAAGUAAGUCCAAGCUGGACCAAUUUCCAGUCAUCCUCUGUGAACGCUUCCCUGUGUGGCAUAAGAUUAGUCAUAAAAACAAAGCAUAAAUUGAAUGAGGAGAAUGCAUGAGUGUUCCCAAAUACAAAGCCUCUUACACUUCUGAUUGCUGCUCCUAAAACACAUUUCUGCAAGCAUGGUCAAGGUCUCAAACCAAGGUGUUGUUCUGUGUGUCCUGAGAAGUAUGGAGCUUCUUUUCUCCUACUCUAAGAGAAGGGUUUUUGACGGUUAUCUAUUGUGGAAUAUCAGUGGAUGAAGCCUCAAUAUUGAAAGAACAAUUAACAAAUAAAACCCAUCCUAGACACUUCCUGCAUACACAUGUGGUGAAGUAUAUAUAGAAAGAAUCCUUACCAGCAUUUAGCACCAAGUUGUGAAUCUUCUUGGUAAUGUUCCACUUGCAGAUCAAAGUAUGUCGACAUGGUACACUGGAUGAAAUUAAAGUAUUCGGGUGUCGUAGGAUAAAAUAAUCAAACCACCACUUUUUGGCUCCCCAUGAAAAAAGGAAAAAAAAAAAAAAAAACAACAAAGAUGAUCCCUUUUUUUUCCCCAUAACCAAAACAAUAUAAAAAUGAGAGAAUUUUCAUUACACUUCCCCAGUUGUUUCAAACACGAAACAUAAGGUAAUAUAUUUCAAAUUCCUAGUUAAACUUUGGAUUGAUGGCAGAAGUCACUUUACUGCUAUCUGCAUUCUGAUUCACAAAGAGAAAUCAAAGCUCUGUUUUGAAUUUUGUUUUAUUCUGACCAGCUGUCUCUCCGUAUUAUAAUAAUUUCCAUGCUUGGGCACCAGAAAAACAGAGUGUUCUGUUUCUGCUCUUAGUCUUACCAUGUACUAUUUCAUACUAUGGCUUUAGGUGCUAAUGGUGUUUGAGCAAAAGAAAACGUUUUUUUUAAGUGAAGUAUUUUCUAGCAUUGCACCACAAAGGCCUUAAUAUCUUCCUCUAAUAUAUUUGAUUCUAUGAAGGAAAUGAAAAAUUUAAAAACAAAUUACUAAAUCAAUUAUAGAGCACCAAAAUACCAAGACUUACAUAUGAUAUAGUGAAAAUAAUAUACUUGAAAAGGUUUUAACAGAGCAUUACAUAAGAAACUUAAGCCACACCGACUGUAAAAUAAACAAACUUGAUACAUGUCAAAGUUAUUUAUAAGAUGACAAGUGCAAUAGACACAAAUGCUCUUACAUUUAGGCUGUCCCACACUGAGUAAACCCAUUACUCACAAGCAUGUAUCACCUGCUCAUCCUUGACAUGCUACCCAAUUGAAGUUCUGCAUAAUGCAAAUGAAAUAAUACUCAUCAAUUUGAAAAAACUGUCUUCAAUAGUUGCAAAGUUACUCUUCUUGAUUAAUAUAAAGGAAAGUACUUAGUAUGCUUCUUACAAUUAAACUUUAAAUAUCCUUAAGGAUAAUUAAAGCCAAUUAAUUGAACUUCGGUAAAAGGCAAAAUUGUAUGCAAAAGCAAGAUGGGAAAAAAUAGUGAUAAUUAUAAUUUGUCAACUAUGAUUCUCAAGCCAUAAUAUUAAUCUAUAUACAAUGAGAGCUAAAAAUGUUGUCUUGUUAUAUCAAAUAUGUUAAAAUAUUCUAAGCUUCCUUAAUAGUUAAAUUUCACCUCUAAUCAAACAAAAUAUGAUAUUUCUAUUUGAAAAAUCUUAUUUUAUCUCCAUAUAUUGUGGAAGAUAAGUUAACUAAUAAAAGAGGGAUUUGAGCAACAAUAUAAAGUGGCUACUAAGGUAAUACAUUUUAUUCAAAAAAAUUAAGGAGAGAAUUUGAGAAGUCUUACCAUGUAGCUUUAGAAACUCCUCCGUAGUCUAUUUAUAUUUGUUGUUGUUGUCAUGUGCAACCAGUCUUUUAUCUUGUUCAGGGUCUGGAAAUAGGAAUAUCUCCAUGAACGGUUGAGUAAUAAAGUGCCGCAAACUCCCCAAAAUCCAAUGAUGAAUCCAAGAACAAUAUUUCCAUAAAACCAUAUAUUAUUUGUAUCAUCUUGAAUAUCCUUUUCAUUAAUAAGACUAGUGAAGGAGACUUCCUUAGUUUCAUCUUCUUGACAUUUUUUCAAAAGCGGUGGCCCACAAAGUCCUGGAUUUCCGUCGUAUGUGGAAGCAUUAAAACUGUGCAAUUGGGUGCCUGAUGGAAUUUUACCCGAUAGGAUGUUAUCUGAUAGGUCUAAAACACUUAGACCUGCUAUUUGAGAAAGACUGACAGGGAUUCCACCAUGAAGCUGAUUUUGUGAUAGAUCAAGAAAAUCCAAUGAUUUCAAUUGACCAAUCAUCAAAGGGAUAGAUCCAAUCAAAUUGUUUUUUGAUAAGUUCAAUGACAACAAUUCUACCAAAUCAGUUACUUCUAUCGGAAUUUCUCCAUUUAACUUGUUAUUCGAAAAAUCAAUGCUCUUUACAAGUCUAAGAGUUUUCUUAUACUCUAGUUCUUUUCCUUUCCAUUGAACCACUGUAUUAUCAAUAUAGGAUAUUGAUGAAUCAAAAACAAACAAUCUUUCUUCAUAAGCAAUGACCAAACUCCCAUUUUGACCCAUGGCAGUUAAAUUGUUGAGACAUUUUGGUAUAAUUCCAGAUAAAUUGUUGCUUGAAAGGUCCAACAUUUGAACCUUUUUCAAUUGACAAAGAUUUAAAGGUAUGCUUCCAUUAAAUUCAUUGGAUCUUAGGUUGACAACGAUCAAAUCUGAUAGGUUUCCUCCUAUCCAUGCGGGCAUUUUUCCUGACAAUUUAUUUUUUCCCAAAUCUAUAAGACGCAAAUCUCUGCAAUUCUUUAAGGACAAAGGCAGUGCUCCAGUUAAACUAUUAUUACGUAAAUGCAAUGUUUGCAUCUGAUGUAACAUGCCAAUCGAAUUUUUAAUUGUCCCAGAAAAAUUAUUAUUUGUCAAAUUAAGAACAAUUAAAUAUUUCCACUGCUCCCAACAUUUGGGUAGUUCUCCUGAUAGUUGAUUAUUUGAGAGAUCAACAUGGAGCAAACCCCAACUAGACUGAUUAGUAGUCCCACACGAUAAAGAAACUGAGCCUGAAAACAUGUUCUUAGAGAGAUCCAACCACUGACCAUUGAAAACAGAUUGUGGUAUUGAACCUUUCAAGCAAUUUGAACUCAUAUCCAUUCCCAAAGAAGGAGUUGCUUCUAAAUUGGGCAAAGUGCCUGAGAUGUGAUUGUUGGAAAUGUUUAACCAAACUAAAUUUGAAGUUAAAUUCCAAAACCAAUUGGGAAUGACAUCUGAAAUUCCAGAAGCAGAGAUAUCAAGUUCUUGCAAACGUUUUUGAGUUUGAAGCCAAUUAGGAAAACGCGGACCUAAUUUGCAAGAGGCCAACUUUAUUUCUUGGGCUUGAAACUGGGGAACUUGCUCAAGGCUUAUGUUGACUGUUAGGUAGUUGAAUGACAAGUCCAAAUCCCACAGUUUGGAGAGACCAAAAAGGUGAUUUGCCGACACAGUUCCUUGCAAGGAAUUUGAACGAAUGUUCAACCCUUGAAGUUGAGCUAGUUGUCCAAUACUUUCAGGUAAAGUUCCAUUUAGUUGAUUGAAUCCAAGAUAUAAUUCUCUCAACUGUGAAAAUCCAGAAAGAUCGGGAAAUGACCCUUUGAAUUGAUUUUCAGAUAAAUAUAAACUCUCUAAUGUGUUAUUGGAGCAGGCCAGAAAAUCUUUUUCCAGCAGUCCAGAGAGAUUGUUCUGAGACAAUAAUAAUAUUUGUAAAUUACAUAAAUCUCUCAAGGAUUUCGGAAUCUCACCUUCAAGUUGAUUCGCAGAGAGAUAAAGAUGUGCCAGAGUAGUCAUGUUUCCCAAAGCAUCCGGAAUUGAUCCAUUUAGAUGAUUAGAAGACAGGUCAAGAUAUGCAAGAGUAGUCAUGUUUCCAAAAGCAUCCGGAAUUGAACCAUGCAGCUGGUUCCAAGAAAGAUCCAAAUGAGCAAGGCUGAUACUAAAGGACUUUGGAAUCUCACCUUCAAGUUGAUUCAAAGAGAGAUCGAGAUAUGCCAGAUUGGUCAUGUUUCCAAGAGCAUCUAGAAUUGAACCAUUUAGAUCAUUACCAAAGAGGUCAAGAUGAACAAGGCUGCUACUAAAGUAGAACAACCAUGGGUUUAUUGAAGAAGUGAGACCAUUCAAGGAGAGAUCAAGCACAGCAAGAGAAGUAGAAGAAUUAGUAUGGGAAAUGGAUAUUGUUGGAAUAAUCCAAGGAAGCUUAGUAAAGCUCAAGUAUAACUCAGUUAGGGAAGAAGACAUUUUAUUAAUUGCUUGUGGCCAAUGGAUUGCUUUACUAAGAUCAACCCCACUCAAGUCAAGGUGUGUUAAGGAAGGAAGGUAAGAAAGCCACUCAAGGUUCUCACAGCUCAUUUCAAAAUUAUCACUGAGAUCAAGGGAUUGCAAGUUGGAAAGAUUUCCGAGUUGAGUGGGAAGAACUCCUGUAAAAUAAGGAAAAGAGAGAAUUAUAUGAGAUAUCUUAUUCUGCUGAGAUAAACUGAUGAAUUUUCACAAGGUAUGUAUAUAAUUACCUUCAAACAGGUUGAAGCUAAGGUUCAAAUGCUUCAAGUGCUGCAACUCUGACAAUGAAGGACCAAGCUGAGAUAUUCUACCUCCCAAAAUUUGGAAAUCACCCAUUCCAUCAUGACCCGUUCCAUGAAGAUCAAGCAUGAUCACAUGACCCGUCUGGUUGUCACACUCCACUCCUCUCCAUUUGCAACAAUCUGUUUCGCCUUCCCCAUUACCCCAUGAAGAAAGCGUUCCAAAAUGAUCAACAACACCUUGUUUGAAGUGAAGGAGAGCUUGUCUCUCCCUCUCCAUGCACCCCACUUUAGCAUCACCCAGCAUGAAACUGGAUCCCAACCCAGCUUUGAAACACAGCAAAAGCAGAAAAGAACCAAGAAAAUGUUGAAAGAGACUUCCACCCAUGUUCAACACAAAGCAAGGAUACUGUGGAAUAACAACGAUUUGCAAGUUUUGGUUUUUGAUUUCUGAUCACACCAGGCAUUGACUUAUAUACCCUUCCCAGCAACAUGUUGCUUAUUUUUUUAUAGAUAUGAUAACCUUUAAUUAUGAUUAAAAAUAAAUAACUAUUAUUAUUAUUAUUAUUAUUUUCAAUCAUCUUUAGACAUCUUGCAUGAAAUUCUUAUUAUCAACAUAUCUUUCUUCUCAAUAUCUUUGAUUAGUUUGGUACUUAUUCUUACGAACCAAUGAAAUACUUAUAAUUUGAUACAUAAUAAAUUGUCCAUCAUUUUUUUUAUAGAUAAAUGACUAUAAUAAAUAUACCUCUUUUCAAUAAUUCUGUAAGAGUUAAAUCCUUAUAAAUUGGUUUUAUAUCUUGACUCAUUUCUCUCUUUUAAAUAGCAGAUAUAGAAAUUUCUCUUAGAUUUAUCAGUCUAAGUAGGAGACAAUAUACCUUAACAUUGUUGAUAAUUUUUUUAUUUAAAGAAUCAUCUCAUUUCAAUUGAAAAAAUAUAUAUAUUUUUAAGAAUAAAUCAAGUUUUGCUUUCUUGUGAUUCUUGAAUUGUUUUUUCAUUGUAGGUUUUUGCAUGUUUGAGUCUAAUCAUGCACAAUCUUCUUCAAUAUCUUUUUAGUGGUUUGAGAGAACUAAUUCAAGAUUUCCUUGGUUUUGUACAUCUUAUCCAAUAUCUACUUGUCCUACAAAUUCUUUUUCUUCUUGAUUUUUAUUCUUUAAUUUGAACUUUUUUUUUCAUUCCAUGAUAUAAAAAGAUUCCCCUUUUGCCUUCUAUUGCUCUAUUUUUAUUAUAAUUUUUAUUUCCUUAAAAUUUAAAAGAAGUAAUUUGAUUGGUAUAACCCAAGGUUUCAUUUUAUAUGUAUUAUAAGUAGCACAAAUUCUAGGAAGAACCUAGGUUCUAGAUUCGAUAUGGAACGAUUUAGUAUUUCAUUAUUUAUCCCUAUCUAAUAAAAAAUAAAAAUAAAAGACCAUUUUGAUUGGAUAAUUUGAUUUCUUGAUCUUGUGUGAGAUAAAAAAGACAUUUCUUAUCAAUUAUUUGAUAAUUAUUUGACCUAGUCUUGGUAUUUUUAUUAUUGUUGAUGUUGAUAUUGAUAUUGAUCUAGACCUCAAUAUCGACCUUCUUUCUAAAGCAAAAAUGGAGAAUUUUCCAAUCAAAAUAUUUUCUAUCCAGGUUUUUCUUUGUAUGCUCUAUAUACAUAAUAUCAUCUUCCUAGGUAAUUAUUGAUAGGGAUACCUCCCAACAUAUAAAAAAAAUUUGUGUUUGUGUGUUGUAAUUAUAAGAAAUAUUGUGGUUAUUAUUUACUUGUAAUGACGAUCCGUAAAUAUACAAGUAAUUCUUAUCUUCAUAAUUAAUAUAUUUAUAUUAUAAAAGGUCAUAUUUAUUAUUAUUAUUAUUAUUAUUAUAGAGUGGUGGUUGAGUGGGAAUAUGAAAAAUAAAGGAUUAUUAGUCAAGUCAUCCUCUAUAUUGGAUCCAGUCAUCCUCUGUAUUGGAUCCAUCUAGAAAGGUUGCUUUAACUAGCAUAAAUAUGGGCAUUUGGGGCCAAAAAUUUAAUGAAACAACUAUUAGAAUCUAGCCAUCCUCCAUAUUGGAUCCAUCUAGAGAAGUUAAUUUUAGCUAGCAUAAAUAUAGGCUCCAAAAAAAUUAAUGUUAUAUAUAUUGGAGUCAAGUCAUCUACUAUAUUGGACCCAUCUAGAGAAGUUGCUUUUAGCUAUCAUAAAUAUGGGUUGGAGACCAAUGAUCCAAUUUGUCCAAAAUCACUUUGAAUUUAUAUAUAAGAAGAAAAUUCCUUUUCUACCCUUGUCAAUAAUUCAUCAUUCAAAAAAUAAUUUGAAUUUUGUAAUAAAUAAAGAUUUUUUUUCCCAUCUAGGAAAAUGUUGAAUGGUUUUUCUCUUUAAUCAAUAAGAAAUCCAACUUAAGAUGCCUACAAUUUGCUUCAUGUUAAUAAAUUCAAAGUAGACAUAUAUAUUUAUUUAUUUUAAUAAAAAAUUAUUUAUUAGAAGAUACACUUAUUUGUUUUUUGAGGGUAUAAAUUUUUUUUUAUAAUUUUCAAGGGUAGCAACAAUCUCUUUUAUAAUUUAUUAUUAACAUUUUUGAAUCAUUAAUUAAGACAUCUUGAUAAAAGAAACAACAAAAAUAAAGUACUAUAAUAUUUCAACUUUAAUUAACAAGUCAAUCUAUCAAUAUCUAAACAAACUAGGAGAAAAAAAUAAUAAAAAAUUCUCUAUUGAUUUUAAUUUUCUAGUAAGCACUAAAUUUUGAUUAUCACUUUUUAUUUUCUUUCACAUAAGAUGCUACUUCCAAUUAUCUUAAUUUGUCAAAUAUGACUGCACGUUAACUUUUGAGUCUAAAAUCCAUAUGGCUAGUUGUACAACAAAGAGAAAAAUCAUCUAAUGAAUAUGUUUUGGUUCUUUUUUUACAUUAAAAUGAGUUUAACCAAAAGGGAUAAAAAUUAAAAAAAAACAAAAAACAAAAAACAAAAACAAAAACAAAACAAAGAUGAAUUGAUUGCGACAUGCAUACAUGUUGUAUGGUAAUGAAAUAAUUUACCAUCCUAUGUUAUAUAGUAAAUAUAUGGACCGACAAAUACAUAACACUCAUAUUUAAACUACAAAAAGUAAUAACUAACUUUUGAUGUUUUGCAAAGUAUUUUUUGAGUUCAUUUUUUGAAUCAGUCAAAGUUCUUAGUUAUAAUGAUAAGAAUAUGACAUUGCUAGAAAUCUUGAAUACUUUAUGAGUAACCAAAAUAUUAAAAGAUAUGAUGAGUAGACUUGAAAAUUUUUUGAGUAUCGGGUCUUGCAAGGCAUAAUGACUAGAACUACCAUUAAUUACAUGUAAAAAAAACCUAAAGAAAUAAUAAUAAUAAUAAUAAUAAUAAGGUGUAGUGACUAAAGUUAUAUCUUUGUUGGAAAAUUAAAAUUGAGAUAUAGUUUUUUUUUUCUCUCCUAAUUUGUUUAAAUAUCAACACUUAGAUUAAUUUGACUUAAUUUAAGUUGAAAAUUUCUAAUUCUUUACUCAUUCCUACAUCAAGAUAUCUUAACUUGUAAAUAAAAGUAUUGAUGAUAAAGAUAAAAAUUUGGUUGUGUUACGUGGUGUCAUGUUUAUAUGAUGAUAUUAUUUAAGGAACAUAGAGUCAUUAUUUUUAGAAGAAUGUAAUCAAUGUUAUUAACCAAAUACAAAAGAUAUCGGUACUAAUUUAAAAAGCUAGAAAGAGUUUCCAUAUUCAUAAAGUAAAUAAAUACAGUUUUUAAAAUAAAAUACAAUUCAAUUAAACAGAAUAAAGUUGCAUCCCCUUUUAAAAAAAACCCAUCUACAAUAAUAGAAGUCUUUCAAGAUUUUGAUACUCAUCAACUUUCCAAGUCUUUUUAAUAAUUACCUAUUCACAAUAAGUUCUAUCAACAUAACUUGGACUAUGUCUAAGCAACUUAAUUGAUGUUUAGUGUUUAUUUUGUAUUUUCAUAAUGUCAAGGCUAAUAAUGUUGAUCAUCAUUAUGUAUUUUAUUAAUUUUUCAUUUGUACCAAUGGUAUUAUUAUAAUUAAUUUUGUAUUUGUACCUUUGAUAUUAUUAUUAUUAUUAUAUUGGACUCAUCUAGAUAGGUUGCUUUUAGCUAACAUAAAUAUGGGGUCCAAAAAAAAAAUUAAUGUAAUGUUUAUUGGAAUCAAAUUAUCUACUAUAUUGGACUUAGUCAUCUACUAUAUUGGACCUAGUCAUCUACUCUAUUAGACCUAUUAUUGUUAUUAUUAUUAUUAUCCACUAGCUAACAUAAAUAUGGGCUCCAAAAAAAGUUUAAUGUAAUAUCUAUUAGAGUCAAGCCAUCCACAAAAAUUUAAUGUAAUGACUAUUAGAGUCAAAGUCAUCAUCCAAUAUAUUGGACUCAUCUAGAUAGGUUGCUUUUAGUAAAAAAAUUUGAUGUAAUGUUCAUUAGAGACAAGUCAUCCACUAUAUUGGGCCUAGUCAUCCACUAUAUUUGACCUAUUAUUAAAAAAAUUAAUGUAAUGUCUAUCGGAGACAAGCCAUCCACUAUCCAUUAUUAUUAUUAUUAUUAUUAUUAUUAUUAUUAUUAUUAUAUUGGACUCAUCUAGAUAGAGGGUUACUUUUAGCUAACAUGAAUAUGGUCUCCAAAAAAAUUUAUUGUAAUGUCUAUUAGAGUCAAGUCAUCCACAAAAAUUUAAUGUAAUGACUAUUAGAGUAAAAGUCAUCAUCCACUAUAUUGGGCCUAGUCAUCAACUAUAUUUGACCUAUCAUUAAAAAAUUUAAUAUAAUGUCUAUUGGAGACAAGUCAUCCACUAUCCAUAAUUAUUAUUAUUAUUAUUAUUGUUAUAUUGGACUUAUCUAGAGAGAGAUAGGUUACUUUUAGCUAACAUAAAUAUGGUCUCCAAAAAAAUUUAAUGUAUUGUUCAUUAGAGACAAGUUAUCCACUAUAUUGGGCCUAAUCAUCCACUAUAUUUGACCUAUUAUUAAAAAAUUUAAUGUAAUGUAUAUUGGAGACAAGCCAUCCACUAUCUAUUAUUAUUAUUAUUAUUAUUAUUAUUAUUAUUAUUAUAAUAUUGAACUCAUCUAGAUAGAGAUAGGUUACUUUUAGCUAACAUAAAUAUGGUCUUCAAAAAAAUUUAAUGUAAUGUCUAUUGAAGUCAAGUCAUCCACUCUAUUCAACCCAUCUAGAGAGGUUGCCAUUAGUUAGCAUAAAUAUGGGCUGGAUUCCAUUGAUCCAAUUCGUCCAAAAUCACUUUGAAUUUGUAUAUACCAAGAAAAUUCUUUACCUAUCCUUAUCAAUGAUUCAUCAUUCAAAAAAUAAUUUGAAUUUUGUAAUAAAUAAAGAUUUUUUUUUCUCAUCUAGCUAAAUGUUGAAUGGUCUUUUUUCUUUAAUCAAUAAAAAAUCUUAAUUUAUGAUGCCUACAAUGUACUUCAUGUUAAUAAAUUCAAAGUGGACAUACAUGUAUUUUAUUUUAAUAAAAAUUUAUUUUUUACAUUUGUUUACUUUUUGAGUGUAUAAACUUUUUUUAUAAUUUUUAAGAGUAGCAACAAUCUCUUUUAUAAUUUAUUAUUAACAUUUUUGAAUCAUUAAUUAAGACAUCUUGAUAAAAGAAAUAACAAAAAUAAAGUAUUAUAAUAUUUCAAUUUUAAUUAACAAAUAAAUCUAUCAACAUCUAAACAAACUAGGAGAAAAAAAUAAAAGAUUCUCUAUUGAUUUUAAUUUUUAAUAAGCAUGAAAUUUUUAUUAUUACUUUUUAUUUUCUUUCACAUAAGAUGUUAGUCCUGAUUAUCUUAUUUUGUCAAAUGCAAUACACAAUUUUAAUUUUUCAAGUCUAAAAUCCGUAUGGCUAGUUGCACAACAAGGAGGAAAGUUAUCUAAUGGAUAUGUAUUGGUUCUUUUUUACAUUAAAAUGACUUUAACCAAAAUGAUAAGAAUUUUAAAAUACUAUAAGAAUGUUGAAUUGAUUGCAACAAGCAUACAUGCUAUAUGGUAAUGACUCGAUUGGUCAUCCUAGGUUAUAUAGUAAGUAUGUGGACCGACAAAUACAUAACACUCAAUUUAGUGAUGUUUAAAUUAGAUGUAAGAAGAAUCUGACAUUGCUAAAAGUCUUGAGUACUUUACAAGUAACCAAAAUUUUAAAAGAUAUGAUGAGUAGACCAUAAAAUUUUGUGAGCAUAGGGUCUUACAAGGCAUAAUGACUAGAAUUACCAAUGCAUGUGAAAAAAAUAAAGAAAAAAAUAAUAGUAAGGUGUAAUGACUAAAGUUAUAUCUUUGUUGCAAAAUUAAAAUUGAGUUAUAGUUUCCUUUUUCUCUACUACUUCAUUUAAAUUUUAGCACGUAGAUUAACUUAGCUUAAUUAGAGCUGAAAUAUUAUAAUUCAUUAUUCAUUCUUUUAUCAAGAUAUCUUAACUUGUAAAUAAAAAUGUUGAUGAUAAAGAUGAAAAUUUGGUCAUGUCUAUAUCCUGAAAUUAUUUAAGGAACAUAGAACCAUUAUUUUUAGAAGAAUAUAAUCAAUGUUAUUAACCAUAUACAAAAAAGAUUGGUACUAAUUUAAAAAAGCUAGAAAGAGUUUCUAUAUUCAUAAAGUAAAUAAAUAUAGUUUUUAAAAUAAAAUAAAAUGUUAUUAAAGAGAAAACAAUUGCAUCCCAUCAUGAACCCUUAAAAAUUCAAGAGGACUAAGAAACCAUCUAAUAUUUAUUUAGAUAGAAAUGAUUAUUUACUACAAAAUUUCAACUUAUCAUAAAAUGUAAAUAGCUUAUAAAAAUUUGUAAAAGUUAAUUUAAAAAAUCACAAUCAAUUUAUUGACUUGAAAAAUUAAGAUGUAAUAAUAAUAAUAAUUAAAGCCCUAUAACAUAGAUUUUUAAGUCAUCUACUAGAGGAUAAAGUACAAUAAUGAAGGAUUCAUUAUUUCUCAAAAAAUUUAAGUCAAGUCAAUAAAUUAAGAUCUUAUAAGAUCUAAGUGGAAGAUUGAUUACUAUUCAAAAAGAGCAUAUUUUAGAUAAAAAAUUAUCAUGCAUUUAACAUUUUUUGAGUAGUAAUAAUAUUGAAAAUAACUAAUUAAUAUGUUGUUUCUCUUACAAAAGUUACUAACAAUUUUUUUAAGGUUUGGAGUCAUUUCAAGGUGUGAUUUUUUAUUAAUUGGGUAACAAAUAAAUGAAUCAACUUGAAGAAGAUAAUGUUGAUGAUGAUCCAAAUGCAUAAUGGAAAAGAGUGACUUAUUGAAAUAUAGAAAUUUUGAAAGGUGAAUGAAGCUUAAAUUUCUAAAAUGUGAGAUUUGAGAGUAUUUCUCAUCCAUGUUCCCAGCAAUGCAAAUUGAUUUGAAUCAAGAUUUGAAUUUAUUAGAGGUAACUAACUUGGAAUUAAAGGAAGAAGUUUAAAGAAACAUCAAAGAAGAGCUAAAAAACCAAACUUGGCAAUUUUGCAUGUUUAUACGAAAUUUGGUACAACCGUGUGAAUUAGGCCAAAGGAGAAAAAUGUUAGGAUUAAAAACAUCCUAAUCCUAUUUUUCAAAAGUGAUAAUAAACCAAUGCGAAAAACAAAGUACAAAAAAACACACGAGAUUUAUAGUAGUUCACUCUCAAUGUGAGAGUUACGUCAACUUGUAACCAUUAUAGAUUUUCACUAUGAUGAAAAGAGAGUACAAGAGAAUUCCAAAAUGCCUCACCCUUUAGGUUUUUCUCUUUGCGUUUUUUUCUCUCUUAAUACCCCAAAAAAACAAAACUCUUUCUCAAAGUUGGCUACCCUAAAUAUAAUAUAAAUAAGGUAACCAAAUCACAUGUGUAAAAUAUCCAAAAUACCCCAACAUAAAAUAUCCUUAUUAUUAGGAUAAUAAUUAGGCUCCACACAUUUUAACAAUCUCUCACUUGGAGACUAAUCCAUCAUCACUUGUCUCCACCUGUAGCAGCUACAACUUCUUAAUCUUCAGUUGAAAAGUCCAAUUGAAGUUGCGUACAACUCCAAUUUCUCAAUUGUUGUAGUCUUUGUCAACAUAUCAACUAAAUUCCAAUUCCUCUAAAUCUUCUCGAGCUUUAAAACACCAUCUUUAAAAAGCUAAUCUUAUGAAGUGAUAUCGAACCUAUAUGUGCUUUGUCUUAACAUGAUAAACAACAUUCUUUGUAAGAUGAAUGGCACUUCGACUGUCACAAUGUAACAUACUUUGCUCAUACUUGUGACCUAAUUUUUCCAAAAAAAAACUACAACCACAUCAUCUUUUUGGUAGCCUCUGUCACUGCAACAUAAUAAAAUGCAACUAUCUUCCGCAACUUUGAACCCAACUGAUUGUAGUACCAUCUAGAGUAUAAGCAUAUCCUGCAUAUGCAUAUUGUUGCACAAAUUUCUUAAGGUAGCUAGGAGAUUGAUUAUGCUUGAAGGUACAAAAUGAUGGACAAUAGAGAAAGAAAAUGUCUAGAAGCAAGGAGAACAAAAUGUGAGAUGAUAGUGAGAGGCAAGAACCAAAAAAAAAAACAAAAAUAGAAAAGAAAAGAAAAAAUGAAGCAGCAAUCAAUGCACUCAUGAGAACCUAUAAACAGAAACCAUAUAUGAGUACCAAAGAUGAUUAGGUUUGGACCAAUAAAGAGCAAACAUUGAGUUAAUGGAAUGAGAGGAUUUUUUGGUCUAAAAUGAACUGAUAAGUAGGUUUGAGAGAAUGAAAAGUUGAAAAUUUUGCAAUCAACCUACUGUAGUGAACAACCAUUGGGUUGCAUUUAGUCAAAAACUUGUCAACUUGGAUUAAGUCUUGAAUAUUAUUUUGUUCAUCACCAAAGUAUAGUGGUGCUUUCCCAUAAAAACCUGAACUUGACACAUGUAGGCAGAUGUGCUACAAGUGUACUACCAUAGAGAUGGAAGUGUGUGACAAAAAUUAUUGCAUGUAAGCAAACUUAGUUUGCAAAAUCAUAUAAAAUUUGUAAAGACAUAGUUAACUUUUUCAUAGUGACAACAAUGUUUCAUCAUUAGAAUCCUAUGCCUUGGUUGUAUUGAAGUCACUAAGAUCCUCAUCUCUCAAAUGCACGUUGCCUUCAGCUAUUUUCUGUCAAGGAACAUGUAGGUGUAACCAUGUAGGUGCACCAUCAAGAAGCUUUGGCACCUGUGAGCAUAUCAUCACCAGUGAGAGCAAUUGCAAUCAUGUAGGUGCACCUUUUAUGGUCUUUAAACCUAUAAGCAUACAAAUCUAAUUUAAUUUAAAGAGAAAAAAGGGGACUAGCAUCAAUCGUUCCAAAAGCACAAUAUUCAACAUCAAUCAUGCAAAAGGAAAUCAAAUUUAAGACAUACAUAUGCCACCGGAAAAAAUAUUAAGCACUUACUGUUCAAAUAAAGCUCUAAUCAUUUCCUCCUUAUCUUUGUUGAAGGCACAUACUCAUUUUCUUAUGUGCCCAAGAAAAGAACAAUAAUUAGCAAAUUUACUUACAAAAAUGAAAUAGAAAAAAGUUCAACUAAGAUUCCACAUUCAAGAACAAGUAAAAGCAUAUGCUUUUUAUUCCAAAAACAGUUUGCAAUUUCACAACUACCAAAGCAAGAGCUCAAACCCCAAUUGUGCACAAAAAAAUUCCUCUCGUAAUAAAGAGUACACAAAAAUAAUGUUCAAAAUGUACUGAUGCUAAUAAAUACUCACAUAGAUUGCCUCACUAAACUUCCCUCUGAAUUGUUUGAGCAAAACUAGACAGCACUUCUCCAACUGCUCUAGAUUCUUGCAUAAUUUGGUUAGAGCCAUCAGACAAAGGUACAUCAACUUGGAGCAUCCUUUUCCUUGGUGCAAUUUUUAAACCUAACUAAAGCUUAUUGGAAACUCGGACUGGAGAAACUUUACAAUCACGAUCAAGGGCUUCCCCAAUAAGAAGGAUACAAUGUCUAUCAUCUUUGAAUCUAAAGCAGCAGUAUUUGUCAAAAUGGAUGCCAUGCAAACUAUUUCAGAAACUGCUGAAUAAAAUAAGAAUUGAUUCUAUAAAACCAUGCAAGCAUAACUUACAUAAUUAGAAAAACCAAAACAGACUUGCAAUCACUUAAUUGUCAGACUUAAGUGAUCAGUAUGCUUCUUUAUAACUACAUUUACAUCAAACAUUUAAAGAAUACCAGUAGUAGUAAAACAGUAGGAUGCAAGUGCACUUACUUCUCGUAGAGAACAAGCCUUCUCUUUCUUUUAGAAACUCUUUCAGACUCAUGUUACAUGUAAUGCCCCCCACUGCAACAGUGAUAGCAUCAACCAAGGACUUUCUAAACAUGAGAUGUGAGAAAAAGGUAUUAUUUUCAAGGCUUUCACGGUUGAACAUCAUGCAUACUUAUAAAAAUUUGUAUUCCCAUCAAUUUCGCUACUUGAAAUAGGAGGGAUGUCUUCCUCCACCUCACUAAAAUUAUCAUCAUUUCUGCCCCCAAGAGAAAAAAGGAUGGUAAAUCUUGUAAACUAUUCCCUUGAUAACUAAGCAUUAGCAGUAUUUUUUAUUGAAGAUACUUUUCUCCCUCUUUAUGAAAAGAAAUACCAUUCUCUAAAUAAGGUCAGACUACCUAUGGAUGAUUGAAGAUGUUAAACAUUCUGCUAGAGCAUCCUAGUCAAUGUUUAUAAAGUUCAUAAAGGAAAAAUAAACUGCAAAACUCAAGAACCAAUAAUAACAUGAAUAUUAAAGCUCCAUAAACACAUCUUACUUUUGAUAGACAGGCUCAUGAGAGAUCACAACAUCAGCUUCAUCCUCCCCAGGUGCAUCUGCUAUACUUCUGUGCAUCCAUCCCUUGCCUUGUGUUGAGCCAAUUUCUCCAUGCCUUGAAAUAUUUCCUCAUUUUCCACUUUCUUUCUUCGCACUUCCAAGUUCAUGCAAUAAAGAUUGGGAAGUGAUGUAAUGACAUUCUCUACGGAUUUUCCAAAAGAGAACUUCCACAAAAAGAAGGGGUUGACUUUUUAUUUUCCUUAGCAUUUUUCUAACCAAAUUUGUCAGGAAACAAACAAUAUUUUUAUAAUCCUUGCACAGACAGGACUUCUGCUCACACAGGAUAUUGCAGAAUAUGGUGAGGAGCGACAACUGCAGAAUAUAGCCAAACAAAAAAUGUACAUAUAAGUUGCAUUUUCCUCAUUGCUGCAAACUAUUCUUAAAUAAGAUGUUUUUUGAGUUCUAACCUGGUAUAGCAUUGGAGAAAGCUCCAAAUCAUCACAGAUCUUCUUCAAAAUGCAUAUAAUGUAGUGAUUUGUCCUGGUUGAAUUGCUUUUAUAAAACUUAAGCAACCAACAUAAAUUUUGGAUAACAUAGUUAUUAGCAAAAGCAGAAACCAAGAAAUACACUUUAAAAUCAACUUCAUCAACCACAGCUGCCUGCUCAUUGCCCGAAGAAUCAUCAGCUCCAUAAUGAAGAUCAUCGGUAGUAUGUUUGGCCUUUUUGUCAUCCAUAUGUGGCAGACUGCCUCCAAGACUUCCUGUCCCAGCACAGGUAUUUCGGGCUCAUCAACCUGUACCAAGCCUUCUUGUCUCCCAUCAGAAAUAGAAUUUUCUAAGCUUUCUUUCUGUGACAUGUUUAGAUCUGAGGAUUGACCACAAUUGGAGACACCAAUUUCAUUCUGAACGACAGCAUGAUCUCCAUGUUUUUUUUCUUCAUUUUUGUUCUUGUCACUCGAUGUUUUCUUCUUUCUCCCGGUUCUUGAUUUUCUAGAAACCUAAUCAUCAAAGAAUUUACAAGAAAUAAAUGUAGAGAUCAUCAUAACUAAUACAUUUCCUACUUUGACAAUCCAUCAUCUUAAACAUAUAGCAUAAUACAUUAUACCAAUUUUAGAUUAACUCAACAAAGCCUUAAACUCAAAUUACUAAGGAUUUCUUGUUCAUAAAGUGACUAUUUUUACAGUACUGGUCAUCUACCUACCACAACCCUCCUUUCUCCAAGCAUGCGACCAGCUUUUCAAGAGAAACUACACUAAAACCAAAACUUUAUAUAAAUUAUGAACUUCCAAAAAAGCCUGAAUCAUACACUCAAGCAAGCUAAGAAACAAAGUGUAUUUUCCUUGCAAGAAUAAAUAUCGACUUAACCAGACCUUUCUUACUAUGUUGAGUUACCAAAUUUUUGAAUUAAACACUUCAACUGGAUAAAAAAUUUUCUUAUAUCAUGCUCUGAUAGUCACCCCAAAAAACUCUAUGGAUACACUCAACUCAAACCCCUGGAUUCUAUUUAAUGCAUCUGUGUGCAUAGAUUUGGAGACAUUUCUAGCAUCCCUGUGUGCUCUUCCAUGGACAACAUGCAGGUCUUCUUUUCCAGAAUCUUCACCACAAAAAAACUAAUCAUACAGUAUAGUUUAGCAUAUUAGGAGAUAAUAAUAGUAAAACUUUCUUUCAUUUUGCUUCUACUUCUACUUCUAAGGUGCUUGCAUACUUCUAAUCAAGCCUUGAAGCAUACUUCUCUUUCUUUUUUAAACAACUAAUAUUUCACAAUUUCAUUAAGAGAAGACCAAAAGGAAUAAAAAGUCGUUAUAAUGACUACCCUCAUGUUCCCUCCAGGAGUCUUUUCGAAAGAAGGUUUGAAAUUUUAUGUUCUGACCACCAAAUCUAAAAUGUUUUAUGGAAGGUGAUCCCAACCCUAGUUGUUAAAAGAUGGGUCAUCUUUUGUCCUGUCCGCAAUCUUCAAGGAAAAGAAACAGGAAUCACAUAAAAUAUACAUCUCUGCCCCAUGCAAAUCAUGCAAGUGAAGAUGAAAAUUUAAGGAUGCAUUUGGUUUGGAAAAUAUUUUCAUUUUCUAAAAACAGUUGUAUUUCCCUUUUUCCUUUUCUUGAAAAUGCAUUUCAUUAAGAAAAGUGACAGCUAUUUUGAAAGAUGAAAUCUACAAAAUAUUGUUUAUUUUGAGUUGUUUCUCAUGUCAAAAAGGUUGAAAGUAAAUAUAAUUAUUAUUUGUUAUUAUAAGUAAUAAUAUACAAUAUGUUAUACUUUAUGCAUAGAAUAUCUUAUCAUAUGUGGCAUUAUUAUCAUUUUGCAUUUGUUGAUUAUUCUUUUUCAUUUUCUUUGCUAUAUUUUUAUUUUAAAACAAUAUAAUAAAGCGUUCUAAUAUUCUUACAAUUAAUCCACUAAGAUGAAUUAGUUAAUAAUAUAAAAUAUAUUCAUUCAUAAUCAUCUAUAGUGUAAUAAAUAAAACAAAAUAUUUUUAUUAAAAAAAAAAGAUAAUAUUUAAUUUCAAAUAUAUAUGAGCUUAUCAUGUAUCAUUUUGAUUAAGAUCAUAAUUCUAAUUUGUUUUUAAAACUAAUUGAAACUAACUUGGAUUUGAAAUUCAAAAUAUAUUUAAAUUCUUUUAGUUCAAAAUAUAAUAAAUACAUUUAAAAAUUAAUUAGUCAUAGCCAUAGAACAAGGAAUUACUUUAAUAGAGUCUAAUAUAAAAAAAAUUAAAAAUUAAAAAAAAAAUCAAACAUUGAACAAUUACAUAUCAAUCUUAGAAAGUCGAUUUGGUUUUAUUUUUAUUCUUUAGUUCAAAAUAUAAUAAAUACAUUUAAAAAUUAAUUAGUCAUAGCCAUAGAACAAGGAAUUACUUUAAUAGAGUCUAAUAUAAAAAAAAUUAAAAAUUAAAAAAAAAAUCAAACAUUGAACAAUUACAUAUCAAUCUUAGAAAGUCGAUUUGGUUUUAUUUUUAUUAGUUUGGAGACUAGGAAACCAAAAAUAAAACCAAUAAAGUCAAUUUUGAAAACUCUCAAGCCAGAUUGACUUUAAUGGUUAUUGAGAAACACCCGAACCUUCACUGCAAUCUCAAUAUUUAGAAAAAAAAAAGAGGAAGGUACAAUGAAAUAAAACUAAAGAAAUGGAAACUCUCUAACUUUCCAUGGUUGGUCUUAGUGCAACUGAUCCGGCUCCCAUCAUCAUCGUCCCCUAAAGAUUAUUUAUGGCCAAAGUGACUUGCAUCAAUCUGCAUAUGAAGUGCCUCAAGCAAUUUGAUUCACAGUUGGAAAUCAAGCCUCUUUAUGCUACCAUAUCCCAUUUCAAACUAUGGCUUUAGUUGCUAAUGCUACUAUAACAUAGCAUCACUGAAAAAAUAAAUUUUGUCUUUGAGCAAAAGAAAAUAUUUUUCAAAAGUGAAGUAUUUUCUAGCAUUGCACCACAAAGGAUUUGAUAUAUCUCAAAUAUACUUGAUUCUACCAAGGAAAUAAAAAAUCAAAAAACAAAAUACUAAAUCAAUUAUGGAGCACCAAAGUACCAAGCCUUACAUAUGAAAUAGCGAAAAUAAUAUGUUUAAAAAGCUUGAAACUGAACAUAACAUAAGAAACUUAAGCCACACUGACUAUCAAAUAAACAAACUUAAUACAAGCCAAAGUUAUUUAUAAGAUGACAAGCUCAAUAAACACAAAUGCUCUUACAUUCAUGUUGUCCCAUACUGAAUAAACUCAUUACUCACAAGCAUAUAACACCUACUAAUCCUUGAGAUGCUACCCAAUUGAAGUUCUGCAGUACACAGAUGAAAUAAUAUUUGUCAACUUGAAAAAAUGCCUUCAAUGUGCAGAGCUACUUUUCUUGAUUAAUAUAAGGGAAAGUACUUAGUAUGCUUCUUACAAUUAAACCUCAAAUAUUCUUAAAGAUAAUUAAAGCAAGUUAAUUGAACUUCUAUAAAAGGUAAAACUAUAAGCAAAAGCAAGAUAGGAAAAAAACAAUGAUAAUUAUAAAUUUUUCAACUAUGAUUCUCAAGCCAUAACAAAUCUAAUAUACAAUGAGAACUAAAAAUGUGGUGUUACUAUAUCUGGAAUGUAAUGUCUAUAGGAGUCAAGUCAUCCACUCUAUUCAACCCAUCUAGAGAGUUUACCUUUAGUUAGCAUAAAUAUGGGCUAGAGUCCAUUGAUCCAAUUCGUCCAAAAUCACUUUGAAUUUGUAUGUACCAAGAAAAUUCCUUACCUAUCCUUAUCAAUGAUUCAUCAUUCAAAAAAUAAUUUGAAUUUUGUAAUAAAUUUUCAUCUAGCUAAAUGUUGAAUGGUCUUUUUUCUUUAAUCAAUAAAAAAUCUUAACUUAUGAUGCCUACAAUGUACCUCAUGUUAAUAAAUUCAAAGUGGACAUACAUUUAUUUUAUUUUAAUAAAAAAUUAUUUAUUAACAUUUAUUUAUUUUUUGAGUGUAUAAACUUUUGUUUAUAAUUUUUAGGAGUAGCAACAAUCUCUUUUAUAAUUUAUUAUUAACAUUUUUGAAUCAUUAAUUAAGACAUCUUGAUAAAAGAAAUAACAAAAAUAAAGUAUUAUAAUAUUUCAAUUUUAAUUAACAAAUAAAUCUAUCAACAUCUAAACAAACUAGGAGAAAAAUAAAAAAUAAAAAAGAUUCUCUAUUGAUUUUAAUUUUCUAAUAAGCACAGAAUUUUGAUUAUUACUUUUUAUUUUCUUUCACAUAAGAUGCUAGUUCUAAUUAUCUUAUUUUGGCAAAUACAAUACGCAAUAUUAAUUUCUCAAGUCUAAAAUCCAUAUGGCUAGUUGUACAACAGAGAGGAAAAUCAUAUAAUGGAUAUAUAUUGGUUCUUGUUUACAUUAAAAUGACUUUAACCAAAAUGAUAAGAAUUUUAAAAUACUAUAAAAAGGUUGAAUUGAUUGCGACAAGCAUACAUGUAAUAUGGUAAUGACUUGAUUGGUCAUCCUAGGUUAAAUAGUAAAUAUGUGGACCGACAAAUACAUAACACUUAAUUUAGUGAUGGUUAAAUUAGAUGUAAUAAGAAUAUAACAUUGCUAAAAGUCUUGAGUACUUUACAAGUAACCAAAAUUUUAAAAGAUAUGGUGAGUAGACCAUAAAAUUUUGUGAGCACUGAUUACUAGAAUUACCAAUGCAUGUAAAAAAAUAAUAAUAAGGUGUAAUGACUAAAGUUAUAUCUUUGUUGCAAAAAUAAAAUUGAGUUAUAGUUUCCUUUUUCUCUGCUACUUUAUUUAAAUUUUAUCACAUGGAUUAACUUAGCUUAAUUAAAGUUGAAAUAUUAUAAUUCUUUAUUCAUUCCUUUAUCAAGACAUCUUAACUUGUAAAUAAAAAUGUUGAACAUAAAGAUGAAAAUUUGGUCAUGUUUUGUGGUGUCGUGUCUAUACGUUGAAAUUAUUUAAGGAACAUAGAACCAUUAUUUUUAGAAGAAUAUAAUCAAUGUUAUUAACCAUAUACAAAAGAGAUUGGUAUUAAUUUAAAAAGCUAGAAAGACUUUCUAUAUUCAUAAGGUAAAUAAAUAUAGUUUUUUAAAUAAAAUAAAAUUUUAUUGAAGAGAAUAAAGUUGCAUCCCCUUUGAAUUUCUUAAUAUAAAGUAGCAUAUACUCAUUCAAUCAUGACAAGAGACUAAGAAACCAUCCAAUAUUUAUUUAGAUAGAAACAAUUAUUUACAACCAAAUUUCAACUUAUCAUAAAAUGUAAAUAGCUAAUAAAAACAACUGUAAAAGUUAAUUUAAAAAAUCACAAUCAAUUUAUUGACUUGAAAAAUUAAGAUAUAAUAAAAAAUAAAAAACUGUAACAUAGAAUUUUAAGUCAUCUACUAAAGGACAAAGUACAAUAAUGAAGGAUUCAUUAUUUCUCAAAAAUUUUAAGUCAAGUUAAUAAAUUAAGAUAUUACAAGAUCUAAGUGGAAGAUUGAUUACUAUUGAAAAAGUGCAUAUUUUAGAUAAAAAUUAUUGUGCAUUUCACAUAUUUUAAGUUGUAAUAAUGCUUAAAAUACCCGAUUAAUAUGUUGUUUCUCUUGUAAAAGUUACUAACAAUUUUUGUAAAGUUUUGAGUCAUUUCAAGGUGUGAUUUUUAUUAAUUGGAUAACAAAAUAAAUGAAUCAACUCGAAGAAGGUAAUGUUGAUGAUGAUCUAAAUACAUAAUGGAAAAUGGUGACUUAUUGGAAUAUAGAAAUUUUGAAAGGUGAACGAAGCUGAAAUUUCUAAAGUGUGAGAUUUGAGAGUAUUUCAUCCAUGUUCCCAACAAUGCAAAUUGAUUUGGAUCAGGAUUUGAAUUGACGGGAGGUAGCUAACUUAGUAUUAAAGGAAAAAGUUUAAAGAAACGUCAAAGAAGAGCUUAAAAACAAAACUCGACAAUUUUGCAUGUUCAUACAAAAUUUGGCACGACUAUAUGAAUUAGACCAAAGGAGGAAAAUGUUAGGAUUAAAACACCCUAAUCUUAUUUUUCAAAAGUAAUAAUAAACCAAUGCAAAAAAAAAAAAAAAAAAAAACAAAGCACAAAAAAAUACACGAGAUUUAUAGUGGUUCACUCUCAAUGUGAGAGUUACGUUCACUUGUAGCCACUGCAAAUUUUCACUAUGAUGAAAAGAGUGUACAAGAGAAUCCUAAAACACCUCACCCUCUAGGAUUUUCUAUCUCUCAAUACCCCAAAAAAUAAAACUUUCCCUCAAAUUUGGCUGCCCUAAACAUAAUAUAAAUAAGGCAACCAAAUCAAGUGUAAAAUCCCCAAAAUACCCUAACUUAAAAUACCCUUAUUAUUAGAAUAAUAAUUAGGCUUCAUAUAUCUUAACAAUCUCCCACUUGGAGACUAAUCCAUCAUCAAUUGUCUCCACUUGUAGCAACUACAACUUCUCAAUCUUUAGCCAAGAAGUCCAAUUGAUGGUGUGCACAACUCCAAAUCCUCAAUCGUUACAAUUUUUGUGAACAUAUCAAUUGGAUUUCAAUUCCCUUAAAUGUUCUAGAGUAUUAAAACUCCAUCUUCCAAAGUUGAUAUUAUGAAGUGAUAUCGAACCUGUAUGUGCUUUGUCCUAGCAUGAUAAACAACAUUCUUUGUCAAAUACUCUGACUACCACAAUGUAACACACUUCACUCAUACUUGUGACCCAAUUCUUCCAAGAAAGACUACACCACAUCAUCUCUUUGUUAGCAUCUGUCACUACAACAUACUCUGCCUCAGUAGUAGAAAGUAAAACUAUCUUCUGCAACUUUGAUAUCCAAUUAACUGUAGUACCACCCAAAGUAUAAAUAUAUCCUGCAAGAUGCAUAUUGUUACACAAAUUUGUUAAGGCAGUCAAAAGACUUAUUGUGCCUAAAGGUAUAGAAUGAUAGACAAUCAAGAAAGAAAUGUCCAGAAGUAAGGAAAAUAGAAUGUGAGAAGAUGAACAAGAGGCAAGAAAACAAAAUUGAAAAGAAAAGAAAAAGGAAGUAGCAAUCAAUGCAUUCAUGAGAACCUAGAAAUAGAAACCAUAUAUAAGUAUCAAAGAUGACUAUGUCUGAAUCGAUAAAAAGCAAACAUUGAAUUGAUGGAAUAAGGGGAUUCUUUAGUCUAAAAUGAAUUGAUAAGUAGGCCCAAAAGAAUGAAAAGUUGAAAAGUUUGUGGUCAACCUAAGGUAGUGAACGACCAUUGGGUUGCAUUUAGUAAAAAACAUGUCAAUUGGAUUAAGUCUUGAAUAUUAUUAUGUUCAUUGCCAAGGCAUAGUGGUGCUUUCCCAUAAAAACCUGAACUUGACACAUGCAAGCAAAUGUGCUACAAGUGUACAGCCAUAGAGAUGCAAGUAUGUGACAAAAACUAUUGCAUGUAAGCAAACUUAGUUUGCAAAAUCACAUAAAAUUUGUAAAGAUAUAGUUACCUUUUUCUUAAUGACAACAAUGUUUCAUCAUCAAAAUCCUAUGCUUUGGUUGUAUUUGAAGUCACUAAGAUCGAUCCUCAUCUCUCAAAUGCAUGCUGCCUUCAGCUCUUUUUUGUCAUGGAACAUGUAAGCCAAGUUGCUUAAGUUUAUGGGGAACUAUGGUGGCUGUGAGUGUAUCAUCACCAUUGAGAGCACUUGCAAUCAUGUAAGUGGACCUUUUGUGGUCUUUAAACCUAUAAGCACACAAAUCUAAUUUAUUUUAAAAGAGAAAAAGGAGACUAGCAUCAAGCGUUCCAAAAGCACAAUAUUCAGCAUCAACUAUACAAAAGGAAAUCAAAUUUAAGACAUUUGUAUGCCACUGAAAAAAAAUAUUAAGCACUCACUACUCAAAUAAAGCUCUAAUUGUUUCCUUCUUAUCUUUGCUAAAGACAUGUACCCUUUUUCUUGUGUGCCCAAGAAAAGAACAAUAAUUAGCAAAUUUACUUACAAAAAUGAAAUAGAAAAUAGUUCAAUUAAGAUUCCACGCUCAAGAACAAGCAAAAAAAAUGUUUUUUAUUCCAAAAACAGUUUGCAAUUUCAUUACUACCAAAGCAAGAGCCCAAACCCCAAUUGUGCACAAAAAAUUACUCUCAUAACAAAGAGUAUAUGAAAAUAAUGUUAACAAUGUACUGAUGCUGAUAAAUACUCACAGAGAUUACCUCACUAAACUUCCCUCUACAUUGUUGGAGCAAAUUAAACAAGACAGCACUUCUUUCUCCAACUGCUCUAGCUUCUUCCAUAAUUUGAUUGGAGCCAUUAGACAAAGCUACAUCAACUUGGAGCAUCCUUUUCUUUGGUGCAAUUUUCAAACCUAACUGCUUAAGCUUAUUGGAAACUCGGACUGGAGAAACUUUACAAUCAGGAUCAAGGGCUUCGGCGAUGAGAGGGCUACAAUGUCUAUCAUCUUUGAAUCUAAAGCAGCAGUAUUUGUCAAAAUGGAUUCCAUACAAACUAUUUCAGAAACUGUUGAAUAAAAUAAGAAUUGAAUCUAUAAAACCAAGUAAGCAUAACUUACAUAAUUAGAAAGACCAAAACAGACUUGCAAUCACUUAAUUGUCAGACCUUAAGUUCAGUAUGCUUCAUAUAACUACAUUUACAUCCAAUAUUUACUAGUAGUAAAACAGUAGGAUGCAAGUGCACUUACUUCUUAUAUAGAUCCUUGUGUUUUACUCCACCUCAGCACUGAGAACAAGCCUUCUCUUUCUUUUAGAAACUCAUGUUCCACAUAAUGCCCCGCACUGCAACAGUGAAAGCGUCAACCAAGGACUUUCUAAACCAUGAGAUGUAAGAAAAAGUAGUUUUUCAAGGCUUUUACUGUUGAACAUCAUACUUAGCAGAAUUCCUCUUCCCUUCGAUUUCACUACUUGAAAUAGGAGUGAUGCCUUCCUCCACCUCACUAAAAUUAUCAUUUCUGUCCCCAAGAGUAAAAAGGAUGGUAAUUGAUUACUAAGCAUUAGCAGUAUUUGUACCAUUCCAAUUAUAUUAUGAAACUUAAAUAAAAUACUUUUCUCCCUCUUUAUGAAAAGAAACAUCAAGCUCUAAAUAAUGUUAGACUAGCUAUGGAUGAUUGAAGAUGCUAAACAUUCUGCUAGAGCAUCCUAGUCAAUAUUUAUGAAGUUUAUAAAGGAAAAAUAAACUGCAAAACUCAAGAACUAAUAAUUACAUGAGUAUUAAAGCUCCAUAAACACAUCUUACUUUUGAUAGACAGGCUCAUGAGAGAUCACAACAUCAGCUUCAUCCUCCCCAAGUGCAUUUGCUAUACUUCUGUCCAUCCAUCCCUUGCCUUGUGUUGAGCCGAUUUCUCCAUGCCUUGAAAAAUUUCCCCAUUUUCCACUUUCUUUCUUCAAACUUCCAAGUUCAUGCAAUAAAGAUUUAACUCCCAAGUUCAUGCAAUAAAGAUUAGGAAGUGACCUAAUGGCAUUCUCUAUGGGUUUUCCAAAAGAGAACUUCCACAAAAAGAAGGGAUUGACUUUUCAUUUUCCUUAGCAUUUUUCUAACCAAAUUUGUCAGGAAACAAACAAUAUUUUCAUAAUCCUUACAUGGACAUGACUUCUGCUCACAUAGGAUGUUGUAGAAUAUGGUGAGGAGUGAUAACUGCAAAAUUUAGUCAAACAAAAAAUGUACAUAUAAAUUGCACUUUCCUCAUUGCUGCUAACUAUUCUUAAAUAAGAUGUUUUGUGAGUUCUAACCUGGUAUAGCAUUUGAGAGAGCUCCAAAUCAUCACAGAUCUUCCGCAAAAUGCAUAUAAUGUAGCGAUUUGUCCUGGUGGAAUUGCUCUUAUAAAAUUUAAGCAGCCAACAUAAAUUUUGGAUAACAUGGUUAUUUGCCAAGGCAGAAACCAACGUAGACACCUUAAAAUCAACUUCGUCAAGCACAGCUGCCUGCUCACCACCUGAAGAAUCAUCAGUUCCAUAAUGUGAAGAUCGUUAAUAGUAUGUUUGGUCUUUUGGACAUCCAUAUGUGGCAGACUGCCUCCAAGGCUUCCUGUCCCAUGCAAAGGUAUUUCAGGCUCCUCAAUCUGUACGAAUCCUUCUUGUUUCUCAUCAGAAAUCAAAUUUUCUAAGCUUCUUUCUGUGACAUGUUCAGAUCUGCAGAUUGUCCACAAUUGGAGACACCAAUUUCGUUCUGAAUGACAGCAUGAUCUCCAUGUUCUUCUACAUUUUCAUUCUUGUCACUCAAUGUUUUCUUCUUUCUCCCCUUUUUGGAUUUUAUAGAAACCUAAUCACAAAAGAAUUUACAAGAAAUAAAUGUAGAUCAUCAUAACAAAAACAUUCCCUACUUUGACAAUCCAUCGUCUUAGAGAUAUAGCAUAAUACAUUAUACUGAUUUUAGAUCAACUCAACAAAGCCUUAACCUCAAAUUACUAAGGAUUUCUUGUUCAUAAAGUGACUAUAUUUUUACACUGGUCAUCCACCUGCCACAAUCCUCCUUUCUCCAACCAUGGGACCAGCUUUUCAAGAGAAACUACAAUAAAACCAAAACUUGAUAUAAAUUAUGAACUUCCACUGAAGCCCAAAUUAUACAGAAGAACAAAAAGGGCACUCAAGCAAGCUAAGAAACAAAGUGCAUUUGCCUUGCAAGAAUGAAAAUCAGCAGAUAAAAGAAACAUUAAAACAGAUGAAUGUGAAGACUUGAAAUGAUAAAUAAAUGAACAUGUAUAUUUAUAUAUAUAGGUGACUUGGCCGAGAGGAUGGGGAAUCAUCUAUUUGGCAUGUGGUUCCACCCCUGUUUGGGUCCACAUGGUUGAACAGAGAACUAGGGAACCUCAGGUAGGAGAGAGAAAGAGAGAGAGAGAGAGGGGGGGGGGGGUGGAAGGGAAGAGGGAAGCACCAGGACUGCUUCAAGCAAUGGUCUUCAGUGUUCUUUCAGUCUCUCCUGCUCAACGUAAAGGGACGAUAUUCUUUAUACUAUAUGGGUGAGCAGCACCAAAUUUUCACUGACUUACCAGAGUCAAACAUAAGCUAUUACUAUUAAAACCUGAUUCAGGGGGCUCUGCAAGAUCUCAGAAGAGGAGUUAAAGAUUCUUUAUCCGAUCAACACUCCCCCACAAGGGGGAGCAGAGCUGGAAAUCCUGUUCCAGCUCUAGAUAUGCUCAAUUGCAAAGUAUGGUAGGGGGUAUAGGAACAGCAGCACGUUCCAUUAGAGAGAUAGAAGCAAAAAGCCCAACGCAAACAGAUGUUUAGUCGCUAAGACCACAGCAUAGGUAAAGGUAUAUUUAUUGCCUGACAUCAUGUUUAACAAGUAAAUCACCAACUAGACUUCAUGAUAUGCUCAUAAACCUAAUGUUUCAGUCAAAAAUUACUGAAGGAAAUCAAUGAUCAUUUUACUUCAAUAUUUUUCACUUUGAGUUCAUGAAUGUAUAUAGACGUUCAUAUAGCAGUAAGCGUUUUGUAUUAACAAACAAAAAGAAUAGGGCAGACAUUAUGCACUCGGCCCACUUUUAUCAGCAAAAAUCUCUUAGACAUUUAAUGUUGUUUCCAACUUUCAUCUGCAUGAUGUUGGCUAGAAUUCAUAGGCAUAUUUUUUCCAUUUAUAAACAAUAAUCUCAAAUUAACAGAUUCCCCACCCGAGAUUAGCCCACAAAAGAAAACAUAACAUACCCUUAACGUGCCAUGAGCCUGAAGAUUCUUCAUAAGCUGUACAACUAUAUAUAUCAUUCCUAUCAAAUCUGCAAGAUCAAUGAUCAGAAUAAUAAAAUUAGCCGGGUCAAGAUCCUUACUAUAAAUAUUACUUUCUUUGAAUGCAUUCAUAACCACAAAAAUGUAGGGGCAAGGUUGACUCGAUUCAUCAUCAUCAUACCCUAUAUUGAUUAUAAUGCUUUAAAAUAGGUAGCAAAAUUUCCCAUUUUUCUGUUUGGUCAAGAAUUUCAAUGCAGUCACAACAUUAUAUUCCACUAUUUAUCAUAUGAUUGUGUUAUAAGAUAAAGAAAAAAUAAUAACAAUAAUUGCUUAUCAAAUUAGUUGAAGUAAUAAUAAAUAUAACAGCAACAACAUCAUCAACAAUGAACUUUUAACUUGUUGAAAUGAAAGGGGAUCGAGACCUUUUGGGUUGGUAUGAGAGCCGAAGGAUUUGAUCAGAUUCAAGAGAAAAUGAGUCAACCCUCGAUCAGUCUGAUCAUAAAAGAACUUGUAAAGAUGGAUGUGAGCUGUUUGAGGCUCUUUAGAAUCUUCCAGUGAUAGUUUAAGCUCUAAAUCUGACAUGCAAAUCUGCAAAAUGGAAAAGCCAAAAUGGUUAGACAGAUAUCACAGAGCUAUAUGCAAAUUUAUUAUUCUGUCCUCAAUAAAAACUUCCCAAAAGAAAAUGUAAAUAGUGAAAUUUGAGAUGGAUGUGUCAACAUAGAUCCCAAGAGGUAAGGCGAACUCCUGAUCAUUAUUCAUCCGUUUGAAAAUUGGGACACUUACAAAUGAACCCAUGAGAAGGGAAAAAACUAUAUAUGAAGUUCGUUUACCAUUCUGUCAUUAAAUAUCAUGAACUGUGUUGCCGCAUAUAAUGAGACUUCAACCCUCAUAGAUACCCUAUCUGUCAUUAAAUAUCAUCUGAUGGCACCUCGACAGGCAUUGUGACAAACACCCAAACCUUCACUGCAAUCUCAAUAUUAAAUAAAAAGGAGGUACAAUGGGAAAAAACUACAGAAACAAAAAAUUUGUAACAAACUUUCCAUUGUUAGUCUUGGCAUGACUGAUCCAAUUCCCAUCAUCAUCAUCCCCUGAAGGUGAUUGAUGACCAAAGUGACUUGCAACAAUCUGCAUAUAAAGUACCUCGAGCAAUUUGAUUCACAGUUGGAAAUCAGACCUCACUGUGAGACAAUAGCUUUCUUGCUUGGGCACCAUAAAAACAGAGUGCUCUGUUUUCAGUAGUACCAUAUACCAAUUCAUACUAUUGUGUAUUAUCACACAGCAUUUCCCCAAAAAUAACAGCUCAUCUUCUAAAUCAAUGAAGAAUAACAGCUCCAAAAAUUGGUUACUCAGAGAUAAAAAUUGAGUGGCAUGCAGACUCCCAGCCCUCUACUGCAACAAGAUGUCUUGAAUAGCUAAAAUGUUCUAAAAUAGAGCAAGCCCAAGCUGAACAAAUUUCCAGUCAUUCUCUGUGAACGCUUGCUUACCGUGUGGCAUGGGAUUAGUCAUAAAAACAAAACAUAAAAACAUAAUAAUGAAAAAAUGAACAGAAACCUAAGCCCCAAACAACAAGAAAAUAUUGCCGAAUUCAAUGACAUGAACAAUUAGCCUGUUCAUAUACAAGAAGUAUGUAAGCAGUAGCGAAUUAAAAAAUAAAAAAACAAAAGCCGAAUUUAACCUCAAAUAAAAAACAUUGGAAUAUAUACAAUCAAUGUCACAGAAUCUUACCAGCCAUUUUUGUUGCUUAAUUAAUGACCACUUGCAGUUCCAUCCUGCUAAUGACAUAAGCAUGUAUUCAAGAAUGGUUGGUAAAUGCUUUAUGAUUACCAGUCACCUUCCUAGAAUUGAUCAAACCUCAACAUGUAGUCAUCUCAGUCACAAUGAUAAAUUGAAUGAGGAGAAUGCAUGAGGAUUGUUCCCAAAUAUAAAGCCUCUCAUACUUCUGAUUGCUGCUCCGAAAACACAAUUCUGCAAGCAUGGUCAAGGUCUCUACCCAAGGUGUUGUUCUGUGUGUCCUGAGAAGUAUGGAGCUUCUUUUCUCCUACUCAACAGAAGGGUUUUUGACGGCUACCUGCUGUGGAAUCUCAGUGGAUGAAGCCUCUAUAGGCAUUGUGAGAAACACCAUGUUUUGAAUUUUGUUUUAUUCUGACCAGCUGUCUCUCUCAAUUAUAAUAACUUCCAUGCUUGAGCACCAGAGAAACAGAGUGUUCUGUUUCUGUUCUUAGCCUUACCAUGUCCCAUUUGAUACUAUGGCUUUAGUUGCUAAUAAUUUUUGAGCAAAAGAAAACGUUUUUUUUUUUAUUAAGUGAACUAUUUUCUAGCAUUGCACCACAAAGGACUUGAUAUCUUCCUCUAAUACAUUUGAAUCUAUGAAGGAAAUAAAAAAAUUUAAAACAAAUUACUAAAUCAAUUAUAGAGCACCAAACCUUACAUAUGAUAUAGCAAAAAUAAUAUGUUUGAAAAGCUUUAAACAGAGCAUAACAUAAGAAACUUAAGCCACACCGACUAUCAAAUAAACAAACUUAAUACAUGCUAGAGUUAUUUAGAAGAUAGACAAGUUCAAUAGACACAAAUACUCUUACAUUCAAGUUGUCUCGUACUGAAUAACCUAUUACUCACAAGCAUAUAUCACCUAUUAAUCCUUGAGAUGCCAUCCAAUUGAAGUUCUGUAAUACACAGAUGAAAUAAUAUUCAUCGAUUUGAAAAAAAAAAUGUCUUCAAUAGCUGCAAAGUUACUUUUCUUUAUUAAUAUAAAGGAAAGUAAGUGGUAUGCUUCUUACAAUAAAACCUCAAAGAUUCUUAAAGAUAAUUAAAGCAAGUUGUCAACAAAAGGUAAAACUAUAAGCAAAAGCAAGAUGAGAAAAAAAUAGUGAUAAUUAUAAUUUUUCAACUAUGAUUCUCAAGCCAUAUCAUUAAUCUAUAUGUACAAUGAGAGCUAAAAAUGCAGUGUUGUUAUAUUUGGUAUAUUAAAAUAUUCUAGGCUUCCUUAGUUAUAGUUAAAUUUCACCUCUAAAUCAAACAAAAUAGGAUAUUUCUAUUUGCAAAAUCUUAUUUUAUCACCAUAUAUUGUGAAAGGUAAGUUAAUUAUAUAGAAAAGGGAUUUGAGCAAUAAUAGAAAGUGACAACUAAGGUAAUACAUUUUAUUCAAAAAACCUAAGGAGAGAAUUUGAGAAGUCUUACCAUUUAAUUGUGGAGGCUCCUUCGUACUUUAUUCAUAUUUACUGUUGUUGUCACAUACAACCAAUCUUUUAUCUUGCUCAAGAACUGGAAAUAGGCAUAUCUCCAUGAACUAUUGAGUAGUAAAGUUCCACAAACUCCCCAAAAUCCGAUGAUGAAUCCAAGAACAAUA
rnacentral:lncRNA from 1 species